rnacentral:lncRNA from 1 species
AGGCUCCGCGGCCGCAUUGCGGUAUGCGGUAUGAUCUCGCAGUACAACCUGGAAAAACCUGAAGGCGUACACAACUUAGAGCAACUGAUCGGGAAACGGAUUCGCCUGGAAGGAUUUCUAGCUGGUGAUUACUAUCACCUUUAUCCGAAAUUCUUGGAACUGGUCAUUCCUGCAAUCAGAGAAGGAAAGAUGGUGUAUGUGGAAGACAUAGCCGAAGGACUCGAGAAUGCUCCUGCAGCCCUUGUCGGGCUCUUCACUGGCCGGAACGUCGGCAAGCAGCUAGUUGCAGUUGCUUAAUACAAAAGCCAAUAUGGAUGAGCUGGGAAUAUGUGACUGAAUCCAUUGUCCGGUUAAAAAUGUUUACAUGUGUUAAUAUGAACUAUCCUCGUUUAGUAAUUGUAUUGGAUUGUUCUGUGUGUGAAGUGUCAAAUAAUUUGGAUUCAGACAAGAACUUAAGUGGAUGCAUUGAAGGAUUUUUUUUUCUUUUCCAAGAUAUUGAGAUAAUGAUUGGAACAUUUGAGGGAUAAGAUCAAAGUAUCUUUUAGGAUACCUCAUUGAUAAAUAUUAAAAUAUCAAUUGUGUCUUUGUAAGGACAGGUGGUCCAGGAUCAAGAUUAAUGAAGAACAAAUUACAGCCAUUAAAUUAUAGUAAAAUUAAAGCUGUGAAUAGUACACACUUGUUUUAUGAAAAACUAAAAAGAGACAUUCCUCUGUACAAAAUUAACUUAAUAAUAUGUCUUUAUUCAUUCAUUUGAUUCUUCCUUCUCAAUCGUCAUUAAUAAAUUAAUAAUACAAAUAAGUCCCCGUUAAAGGUUAAGUCCCCGAUUGGCUUUACCGUCACGCUCAUGCAUGAUCAAAUUUCAGUUAAUGCUGACGUGAUCGAUGAUGAUUUGAUUGGGAGCUUCCUUUGUCGUGGCACUCUCAUGUUCACAUUUAUUUUUAGGGUUAAUAAUAAUAAUAGCUUCUAGAAACGCUUUGUUUUAAUGAGAUUUUAUUUUUCAAUUAAUGUCAAAAAAAUAACAAAAAUUAAUAAAAGCUGAUUAUUUAAUGAUGUUCAGCCCUCGAGACAGUUUAUACUAGUAAUUUAUUGUUUGAAAAUUAUUUCAACAUAUGAAAAACAAAAUUUCCCAAAUUUACAACGAAUUUUAAAACAAAAUUUCGAAAUUUCAAAGAAAAUUACAAAUUUGACUAGAUUGACUGAAAAAAAAUAAAUAAAUAAAAUCGUCAAAAAUCCUGGGACCGACCAUUUCAAAAGUCUGGCUCUUUUCCAGGCUUUCCUUCCAAAUUUUCACACACAAUUUCUCGUAACCGCUACACAUUAAACGUGCUUCACAUUUCCACUCUCUCUAUAAAUAAAUACGCACAUAAAAUUUCUCACCAUCCAAAAACAAAAUCUACAUAAAAAAAUGGCGGGUGAAGAAGCAGUGAGCAACAAGCAGGUGAUUCUGAGCGACUACGUGACAGGGUUUCCAAAAGAAUCAGACAUGAAGAUAAUAACAGGCUCAAUAAACCUGAAGGUGCCAGAGGGCUCAAAAGACACAUUGCUUUUGAAGAAUCUUUAUCUUUCCUGUGAUCCUUACAUGAGAGGACGUAUGAGCAAGCUUGAUAAGCCUUCGUUUGUUGCCUCCUUCAAGCCUGGCGAGGUCAGUUUCUUCAGUUCCCAUCUCUUGUUUUCAUAAUCUUUUAUGGCUCUAGAAAGUGUUUUAGGGUAACAUUGUGGUUUUGGUUUGUGGGCAUGAAUCUUUGAAGAGAGUAUGAUGUGUCGGACUAUGUAUGCAAUAAAGUAUAGGGGAUCUUGUUAAGAGAAGAUUCUCUUAAUAAGAUUAAAACUUUUGUCUUAUCAAAACAUAUGUAGGGGAAUUGGUUAUGAUAUCAUGUUAGCAUUGUUUCUGAGGAUUUGAUUGCUUGCUUGGGAAAAGGGCUGUUGAGGUUACAUUAUUCAGUAAUGGUGUUUUUCCUUUUUUCUUUCAACUGUUCAAAUUAUGUAGCCUUUGAGCGGAUAUGGAGUGUCCAAAGUGUUGGAUUCCACACAUCCAAAUUAUAAGAAAGAUGACUUGGUCUGGGGCUUAACCAGUUGGGAGGAGUGCAGUCUCAUCCAAUCACCACAACUUCUGAUUAAAAUUCUGGAUACAAAUGUGCCUCUGUCAUACUAUACUGGGAUUCUUGGUAAGUUGUUACUAAAUUUAUCAAUGUCCAGUUUGCAUGAGCUGAAAAUCGUGUUUUAUUCAAUGCAAUGAGAUAGGGAUAUAUAAUAUGCUGCUUGAACGUCUAGCAUUUGAAUUUCANNNNNNNNNNNNNNNNNNNNNNNNNNNNNNNNNNNNNNNNNNNNNNNNNNNNNNNNNNNNNNNNNNNNNNNNNNNNNNNNNNNNNNNNNNNNNNNNNNNNNNNNNNNNNNNNNNNNNNNNNNNNNNNNNNNNNNNNNNNNNNNNNNNNNNNNNNNNNNNNNNNNNNNNNNNNNNNNNNNNNNNNNNNNNNNNNNNNNNNNNNNNNNNNNNNNNNNNNNNNNNNNNNNNNNNNNNNNNNNNNNNNNNNNNNNNNNNNNNNNNNNNNNNNNNNNNNNNNNNNNNNNNNNNNNNNNNNNNNNNNNNNNNNNNNNNNNNNNNNNNNNNNNNNNNNNNNNNNNNNNNNNNNNNNNNNNNNNNNNNNNNNNNNNNNNNNNNNNNNNNNNNNNNNNNNNNNNNNNNNNNNNNNNNNNNNNNNNNNNNNNNNNNNNNNNNNNNNNNNNNNNNNNNNNNNNNNNNNNNNNNNNNNNNNNNNNNNNNNNNNNNNNNNNNNNNNNNNNNNNNNNNNNNNNNNNNNNNNNNNNNNNNNNNNNNNNNNNNNNNNNNNNNNNNNNNNNNNNNNNNNNNNNNNNNNNNNNNNNNNNNNNNNNNNNNNNNNNNNNNNNNNNNNNNNNNNNNNNNNNNNNNNNNNNNNNNNNNNNNNNNNNNNNNNNNNNNNNNNNNNNNNNNNNNNNNNNNNNNNNNNNNNNNNNNNNNNNNUGAAGAUUCAUUGAGGAUUUCUAUGUUUCUGAUGUGGUAUUUUCUUUGAUCUAGUAUGCCUGGUUUGACUGCAUAUGUGUUUAUAUGAGCUUUCCCCUCUAGAAAGAGAGUAUGUCUAUGUAUCUGCAGCAUCUGAGCUGUUGGCCAGCUGUUGGCAAUUGCGAAGUUGGUUGGUUGCCAUGUUGUUGGAGUGCCGGAAGCAAAGAAAAGGUGAGUUUGCACCCUUAACCCUUAAGCUCUAAAUAAAAACAUAACACCUUGUGAAAGAAUUGUGCAUGUCACAUUAUUUGUGUUCUAACUAAUCAUGGAUAUUUGAUCAUUAGUCUAACUGAAACUGACUUAUUACCACCUAGUUGAUUGGUCUUUGAGAAAUGUUAGUUGAUAAAUGCUUGAAAUCAUAUUUUGUUUUAUUAGAUGAUUAUAUUAACCUGCUUCUUUUUCUUUGUGCUGUUUCUCAUUUGAUUACAUUUUCAACAUUAGGUCGAUCUGUUGAAGAACAAGUUUGGGUUUGAUGACGCUUUUAACUAUAAGGAAGAACCAGACUUAGAUGCAGCUCUUAAGAGGUUAGCAUGAAUGAAUGCUUUAACCAUUUUUCUCACUUCAUUAUUACAAUGCGCUGAUUGAAGUAAUCUGUGUUGGUCCUGAAAAUGUAAUGUAUAGCUCUCUGUUUUCAUAAAACAGGACAAACAGAGAUCACUGAUCUCAUUCGUUACAUUGAUUUUUUAUACCAUUGCCAUACGUAGUAUAAACUAGGAAUUCAGUUGCUUGAUUGAUAUUCAUUUCACAGGGAAAUUUUCACUUGCAGCUAACAGAAUCAUAUUUGUGAUGCAUGUUUAUUUGGGAAAUGAAAAGAUUCGCCGCAUUAUUUUAUUCCAAGUUUGCUGAAAUCAUAUUUGUUUUCCCAGGUGCUUUCCUGAAGGUAUCGACAUCUAUUUCGAAAAUGUUGGGGGUAAGAUGCUUGAUGCAGUGCUACUCAACAUGAGAAUUCGUGGCCGCAUCGCUGUAUGCGGAAUGAUCUCACAGUACAACCUUGAGAAGCCUGAAGGUGUACACAACUUGAUGCAAGUGGUUGGAAAACGAAUUCGCAUGGAAGGAUUUCUUGCCGGUGAUUUCUACCACCAAUAUCCGAAAUUCUUGGAACUGGUUAUGCCGGCAAUCAAAGAAGGAAAGUUAGUAUAUGUCGAGGACAUAGCUGAAGGCCUCGAGAAAGCUCCAUCAGCCCUAGUUGGGAUAUUCACAGGUCAAAAUGUUGGAAAACAACUGGUUGUAGUUGCUCGGGAAUAAUAUGAUUACUAUAUGCUUUAAAAGUGGACUGUGCCGUGCACUUUAAAAGCUUAGUGAAGAUGCCUUUGUCUUAUUUUUGAUUCAUGUUAUGUUUGUUUGAUCAAGUUGUACUCAGCUAUAAAUCAAAGAUUCAGAACAUGUGUAUGGUAGUGGUUUCUAAAUAAAUGAACGCUUUGAAAUGUUACUGUUUUCACAGGAGAAUGCAGUUUAGUUCAACAAUAUCCCAACAAGACCCUCAGAGUAGUCACUUGUAAAGUUAGUUACUAUGUUUUUUUUUUCAUUCCAAUUUAUUGCUUAUUUCAUAGAAAGUUUACAUUGAAGUCUCAUGUUUCUUUGAAAGGUAAGCAAGUGUGAAUGUUUCUAUCUAGAGCAGGAAAAAGCAUUUCCGUGCAGCUUACUUGAUGAAUGAAGUUUUCAUCUCUGACCUUGAUGUUUCCCAGAGCAUUCAUUUUAGCUGAUCUAUUUCAUUUUGUUUUCGAAGGAAAAUAUAUAAGUAAGACUUAAUCAACUUCCUGCCUGGUUGCAUACCUAAUGAAUUUUGAUGACUUAAGAGUUUGCAGAAGCUACUGUACCAUAUGUUGUUAGAGGCUGUAAAAAGGAGGCAGAUCAAUACACAUUUAAAUUUGCACAUUUAAAUUUCAAUGACAAUUUGCUGGAAGUAAAUUUCCUAUGACCCUACAUGUGACUAAUUGAUGAGAACUUGACAAUGACAAAAGAAAGUGUAUGAGUUUUGCAGGCUGGCAUGCCAAUAUUGACUGUAUGGCACCAUCCGCAAGUGAGUAUCAUUAUUGUUUAAUCAACAUGGUGGAGUUUCAAUAUUCCAUACAUCAAACCAAUUGCAGUUUUGAUAUCAAAUUCAAUUUUAUUGUUGGUGACGAUUCUGAUUCCUUUCAUUCUGACAAAACAGAACCAUGGCUGCUGUUGGAGAGAUCUUACUCAACGCCUUCCUUCCGGUGUUGUUUGACAGGUUGGCUUCUCGUAAUUUGCUCAGCUUUGUGCGUCAACUCCAAGUCCGGGUUGAUUCGGAGCUCAAGAAGUGGGAGAAAAAGCUGAAGAUGAUUCAGGCUGUGCUCUGCGAUGCAGAGGAGAAGCAACUGACUGAUGAGGCUGUGAAGAUGUGGCUGGACGAACUCCAAGACUUGGCUUAUGACGCUGAGGACAUUCUUGAUGAGUUUGCUACUCAAGCUUUGGAAAGCAAGUUGAUGGCGCAAAAUCAGGAUAGCUCUGGCCAGGUUCUCAGUUUCAUCCCGGCUAGUUUGAAACCGAAAGCUAUUAUGUUCAAUUAUAGCAUGGGGUCCAAGAUUAAAGAUAUCACUAGUCGGCUGGAGCAACUCUGCCAAGAAAGAAUUGAACUUGGACUGCAACGGCUUACUGGAGGGGCGUCGUCAACCGCUGCUGCUGCACACCAGAGGCCACCCAGUUCGAGUGUCCCAACAGAACAUGAAGUAUUUGGAAGAGAAGAAGAUAAGGCCAAAAUUCUUGAUAUGGUCAAUACCUCAAGUGAUCACGCCAACUUUGUUGUAAUACCUAUUGUUGGAAUGGGCGGGAUAGGAAAAACAACUCUUGCUCGGGAGGUCUACAAUGACAAGGCAGUUGCAGAUUCCAAGUUUGACGUAAAAGCAUGGGUUUGUGUCUCCAACAACUUUGAUGUUUUCAACAUCUUAAAGGCACUUCUUGAGUCAAUCACCUCCGCAGCUAGUGAUCUCAAUACUUUAAAUGAAGUGCAGGUUCAACUGAAAAAAGCAGUGGACGGAAAAAGAUUCUUGCUGGUCUUAGAUGAUGUUCGGAACGAGGACUACAGCUUGUGGGUAGACUUAAAAGCUCCAUUCUUGGCUGCUGCACCAAACAGUAAGAUGAUCAUCACCACACGGCAUUCGGAUGUUGCAUCAACAAUGGGACCUAUUGAACAUUAUAAUCUGAAGAGUCUGUUAGAUGAUGAUUGCUGGUCCAUUUUCAUAAAGCAUGCACUUGAAGGUAGAGAUCUUAGCGCACAUCAAAUUUCAGAAUCAUUCCGCAAGAAAGUUGUUGGCAAGUGUAGGGGCUUGCCUCUGGCAGCAAAAACGCUCGGGGGCCUUCUGCGCACAACAAGGCAUGCUGCGUGGGACGAUAUAUUGGAUAGCAAAAUAUGGGAUUUACAUCAACAAAGCAGCAUUCUCCCUGUGUUAAGAUUGAGUUACCAUCAUCUUCCGUCUCAUUUGAAAAGAUGUUUUGCUUUUUGUGCCAUCUUUCCAAAAGAUUAUGAAUUCACUGAGAAGGGGCUGAUUUUCUUAUGGAUGGCUGGAGGUAUUAUUCGACAGUCAAGAAACAGUGAGCAGAUGGAAGAUUUGGGCAGCAAGUGCUUUCAUGAUCUAGUGUCAAGGUCUAUUUUUCAACAAACCAGCUCUGGUAGUUCUAAAUUUGUAAUGCACGACCUUAUCCAUGAUUUUGCUGAAUUGGUUUCUAGAGAGACCAUUUUAAGGUUAGAGGAAUCCACCAACUUGUCGUCAAGGAGAUUUGAAAGAGUUCGCCAUUCUUCCUAUGGCCGUGGUUGGCUUGAUGGUAAAAAUAAGUUUGAGGUUUUCUAUGAAAUUGAACUUCUGCGAACAUUCUUGCCAUUCUGCAUAAGAGGUGGCCCUAAUACUAGUUAUGUAACUAGUUUACUUAUAUAUGAUUUGUUGCCGAAGUUUAAAAAGUUGAGGAUGCUAUCUUUAGAAGGAUACCAGAUUGGUGAGUUACCAAUUCCAUUUGAAGAUUUGAGACCUUUAAGGUUCCUCAACCUUGCCGACACUGACAUAAGAAGUUUACCCGAGUCAACAUGCAAAUUGCUGAACUUGGAAAUUUUGAUAUUACGAAAUUGUUCCCGUUUGAUAAAGCUUCCGCCCAAAAUGAGGAAUUUGAUCAAUUUACGCCAUCUCGAUAUAAAAGGUGCAAAGCUGCUGAAGGAGAUGCCAUUGGGAAUGAAAGCGUUGAGGAGUCUUCAAACAUUGUCCAAUUUUAUUGUAGGCAAGGGUGAAUCUGCAUCUGGUUUGGAAGAUUUAAAAAGUUUAAACUUUCUUUGUGAUGAACUCUGCAUUGCUGGAUUAGAGAAUGUGAAUAGUCGACAGAAUGCAAGAGAAGCCGCAUUAUGCGAGAAGCACAAUCUUGAAGCAUUGACUCUAGAAUGGGGGCCUCAAUCUAACAGUCCUCGGGAUGUAGUACUAGAGGAGAAUGUACUUGACACUCUACAGCCUCAUAAACGUAUAAAAGAGCUGGCAAUCAGGCACUAUGGUGGUGCAAGAUUUCCACUUUGGAUCGGACAUCCUUUGUUCUCCGAGAUGAAGGUCCUUAAAUUGGAGAACUGUGACAAGUGUGUAUGUUGAAAGUCAGAGAUUAUAGCCUAAUUUUGUGCACAUGUAUUUAUUUUUUCCUUGUAUAGCAUAUAUUUAUUUCCUUUCCUUGUAUAGCUUAUUUUUCCUAGUUUCCUAUAGCUUCCUUAUAUAGCAGGCUAGUAUAUAAUGUAAAGAUUGCAACUUCUAUGAAUAAGAAAAAUAUCUUCCCACUAUUUUUCUCAUGGUAUCAGAGCCCAAGUUAGGGUUUCUAGGCAGUUUUUUGUUUUUCAACAAAUUUUCAGCCACCAAUACCUUUAGGGUUUUAUCUUGUGCUGUGAGUUUAAAAAUUCUGAUUUAAAAUGUCAGAUGUGAGCGAAUCCAACUCUGGCAUCAACGUUAAACAUGUUCAAGCCAAUAAUUCUGUUGACAAUCCGUCAUUACAGAUUACAACUCACAAAUUGAAUGGCCAAAAUUUUCUGCAGUGGUCACAGUCUGUGAAGUUGUAUGUGAAGGGAAAAGGUAAAAUGGGCUAUCUUGAUGGGUCAAUAGACAUACCAGAGGCUGACGACCCUUCGUAUAAAAUCUGGGAUGAACAGAAUUCUAUGGUAAUGUCAUGGCUUAUUAAUUCAAUGGAUCCUCACAUUAGUCAGGCGUUUCUUUUCUUACCAUCAACACGAGAUUUAUGGGAUGCAGUCACAGAGACAUAUUCUGAUCUUGGAAAUACUGCACAGUUGUACGAACUUAAGUGUCGUAUUCAUGAAACCAAACAAGGAAGUGACAUUGUGACUACAUAUUACAAUAUCAUGAAUAGCUUAUGGCAAGAAUUGGAUUUGUAUUAUGAUGGAGAAUGAAAGUGUAGAGAUGACAGUAAAAGAUUUAAGAAGUUACAGGAGAAGGAGAGGGUGUUUGAAUUUUUGGCUAGUUUGAAUCCAAAUUUGGAUGAAGUUAGGGGACGAGUACCAAGCAAAGAACCUCUUCGCGCAAUUAGGGAAGUCUAUGCAUAUGUGAGAAGGGAAGAAAGUAGAAAAAGGGUAAUGAUGAAUAGCACUAAUACUGAUAAUUCUGCCUUGAUUACUUGUGCUACUGAUUCAGCCUUGGUAAGUGAACAAAAGAAUAUGAGCAAGAAGAAAGAUGACAAGGAUAAACUUUGGUGUGAUCAUUGCCAUAAGCCGAGACAUACCAAAGAGUUUUGUUGGAAGCUCCAUGGAAGGCCACAAAACUCAGGGAAGGGUACCAAGUCUUCUGGACAAAAUUCAAAGGGCUUUCAAGUUGCAACUGAUAAUGGCAAUGCAAACUCAGGGAGUCAAGGAUCAAAUCUGUUCACUAAGGAACAGCUUGAGCAACUUGUCAGGUUCAUGAGUCAAACACCUUCUGCUAAUCUAGCCCAAAUAGGUAAUUUUCUAAAUGCUUUCAGCAUCUCUUCAAAUACUUCUUGCCCUUGGAUCAUUGAUUCAGGAGCAACCGAUCAUAUGACUGGUUUGUCCAACUUAUUCUCUACUUACAAACCACUUUCUGGUAAACAAAAGGUGAAAAUUGCUGAUGGGUCUCUUUCUUCAGUUGCAGGAAAAGGUUCAAUUUCAGUUUCUAAAACAAUGAUCUUAAAAUCAGUGUUACACGUCCCUAAUCUGUCUUGUAAUCUUUUGUCUAUCAGUAAACUUACAAAAGACCUUAACUGUAUGGCUAAUUUUUCUCCUUCCAAUUGUGAAUUUCAGGACCUGUGUACGGGGAAGAAGAUUGGCAGUGCUAAGGAGGUGGAUGGACUUUAUUAUUUCGAAGAGGAGCCUGAAGCUUUGAGUAAUCUAUCCUUAGUUGACAAAAUUGUUUCUCAAGGGCCUAGUGAGAAUGAAAUUAGUUUGAUGCAUCUCAGAUUAGGACAUCCAAAUUUUUCAUAUUUGAAGUUGUUAUUCCCGACAUUGUUUAAGAAUAAAAGUGACAUUAAUUUUAAAUGUGAAGUGUGUGAAUUGUCCAAGCAUCAUCGUACUCAUUUUCCUGCCCAAACUUACAAAGUUUCACAACCCUUCUCUCUUAUACAUAGUGAUGUAUGGGGUCCUCUCCGUUUUCCCAAUAAUUUUGGAGCUAAGUGGUUUGUCACUUUUAUUGAUGAUCACACUCGAGUUUGUUGGGUGUAUUUAUUAAAAGAAAAAUCUGAAGUUUCUAAAACUUUUCAAAUCUUCCAUAAAGUGGUUCAAACACAAUUUCAAGCAAAAAUUCAAGUGUUUCGAAUUGACAAUGGCAAAGAAUUUUUUUCUUCUAUGUUGGGAAAUUAUUUGACUGAGAAUGGAAUUAUUCAUCAAUCCUCUUGUGUUGAUACUCCUCAACAAAAUGGAGUUGCUGAAAGAAAAAACAGACAUUUACUUGAAGUUGCUCGAUUUUUGAUGUUUACUAUGGGGGUACCAAAUUAUUUGUGGGGUGAAGCAGUUUUAACUGCCUGUUAUCUCAUAAAUAGAUUGCCUACUAGUACUUUGAAGUUUAAAACUCCAAUCGAACUUCUUCAGCAACUUUAUCGCAUGUCUCGGUCCUUUAGUUCUCUUCCUCCUAAGGUUUUUGGGUGUGUUGCUUUUGUUCAUGAUAAGAAUCAUAACAAAAGUAAGCUUGAUCCUAGGUCUCUUAAGUGUGUGUUUGUGGGUUAUUCUCCUACACAAAAAGGGUACAAGUGUUUUCAUCCUCCAACUAGGAAAUAUUUUGUAACCAUGGAUGUGACUUUUUUUGAAAUUAACCCUUAUUUCUCCAAAACCUCUCUUCAGGGGGAGGAUAUCACAAAUUCAACUCCACCUUUGAUAGUUUGCUUUCCACAAAAUCUGCCACCUUCCAAUAACAAUCAGCAAAAAGAACAACACUGUUCUUCCCCACAAAAACAGCCUGACCCAAGUGAUGACCAGCAAGUGUUUUCACAAAUUCAACCAUCCACCGCACAAAAUCAAGAGGAUACUCAAAAGCUAAAGGUAUAUUCUCGACGACAUAAAACAAUUUGUACAUCUCUUGACUGCCAAAAUUAUGAACCGAAUAUAGAGUUAUUGGAAGACACAGGUACUGUUCAAUCUGAGUCUAAAUUACAUUUAAACUCUAUUCCAUCACUCGAUUUAGAUUUAGAUUUGCCUAUUGCUCAUAGAAAAGGUGUUAGAACUUGUACUAAACAUCUUAUUUCUAAGUUUGUCUCUUAUCAUAGAUUGUCACCAUCAUUUAAAGCUUUUGCUACUAAUCUGUCAUCUGUAACUAUUCCUAGAACAGUACAUGAUGCUCUUGCAAAUCCAAAGUGGAGAGAAGCGAUUCAUGAAGAACUGAGAGCAUUAUAUAAAAAUAAAACUUGGGGUCUUGCAGACUUGCCUUCUGGAAAGAAAACUGUGGGUUGUAAAUGGGUAUUUACGGUUAAGCAUAAGGCUGAUGGAUCAAUUGAGAGAUUCAAGGCUAGGCUGGUGGCUAAGGGAUAUACUCAAACAUAUGGAAUUGAUUACCAAGAGACAUUUGCCCCCGUUGCAAAAAUAAACUCUAUUCGGGUCCUAUUGUCACUUGCUGCAAAUUUAGAAUGGCCAUUACAACAGUUAGAUGUGAAGAAUGCAUUUCUCCAUGGAGAUUUAGAAGAGGAGGUGUAUAUGGAUCCACCACCAGGGUUUGAGAAUAUGUUUGAAACAGGAAAAAUUUGCAAGCUGGAAAAGUCCUUAUACGGGCUCAAGCAAUCACCAAGAGCCUGGUUUGACAGAUUUACAAGAUUUAUUCUCAAAUGUGGAUAUCGACAAAGCCAUAGUGAUCAUACCAUGUUUCUUAAGCAUGGUAAAGAAGAUAAGCUCGCUGUCCUUAUUGUGUAUGUGGAUGAUAUCAUCUUGACUGGAAAUGACAUAGAUGAAAUUGAGAGACUCAAGAUGUUGUUAACCAAAGAGUUUGAAACUAAAGACCUAGGUUCUCUGAAAUACUUCCUCGGAAUUGAAGUGGCUAGGUCUCGGAAAGGGAUAUUUUUGUCACAAAGGAAAUACAUUUUGGAUCUCUUAGAAGAAACUGGGAUGUUGGGAUGCAAACCUAGCGAUGUUCCUAUAGAAUCCAACCAUAGACUUGGGGCAACUACUAAAAGCAGUUUGGUUAAUAAGGAACAGUACCAAAGAUUAGUUGGAAAGCUAAUCUAUUUGUGUCAUACUCGUCCAGACAUUACAUUUGCAGUAGGCGUUGUGAGUCAAUUUAUGCAUUCUCCUAAUGUAGAGCACAACACAUGGAAGUUGUGUUUAGGAUACUGAAAUAUUUGAAGACAUCUCCAGGAAAAGGCAUUUUAUUCUCUAAGAAUAAUCACCUAAGGGUUGAGGCAUAUACAGAUGCAGAUUGGGCUGGAUCAUUGGUUGAUAGAAAGUCAACAUCAGGUUAUUGUACAUUUGUUGGGGGAAAUCUAGUUACUUGGAGAAGCAAGAAACAACCAAUGGUUGCAAGAUCAAGUGCUGAAGCUGAGUUUAGAGCAAUGGCAUUGGGAAUUUGCUAGCUUAUGUGACUGAGAACGUUUCUAAUGGAGUUGAGGUGUGGAAAGCUGAAUCAAUGAGACUGUAUUGUGAUAAUAAAGCUGCCAUUAGCAUUGCUCAUAAUCCAAUCCAACAUGAUAGGACAAAACAUAUCGAGAUUGAUAGGCACUUUAUAAAAGAGAAGCUGGAGAGAGGCCUAAUAUGCAUUCCAUAUGUUACUACUCAAAAGCAAGUAGCUGAUAUUCUCACCAAGGGAUUAUCAAAACAAGUUUUUCAAUCACUGAAUUCCAAGAUGGGAAUGAUAGAUAUCUUCGAGCCAGCUUGAGGGGGAGUGUUGAAAGUCAGAGAUUAUAGCCUAAUUUUGUGCAUAUAUAUUUAUUUUUUCCUUGUAUAGCAUAUAUUUAUUUCCUUUCCUUGUAUAGCUUAUUUUUCCUAGUUUCCUAUAACUUCCUUAUAUAGCCUAGUCAGACUAGUAUAUAAUGUAAAGAUUGCAACUUUUAUGAAUAAGAAAAAUAUCUUCCCACUAUUUUUCUCAGUGUAUCUCUGCCAUCGCUUGGCCUGUUGAAUUCACUUAAGCACUUUGCUGUUAAAGGGCUGAAGAAACUAAAAAGCAUAGAGUCUGCGGUCUUUCCAUCAUUGGAGAUUCUAAGUUUUGAGAAUUUGCCAGAAUGGGAGCAUUGGGACACCAAUAUCAAAGGAAAUGUGCACGUUGAAAUAUUUCCAUUCAUCACAAGACACAAGCUACCUUCAUCUCUAAAAAGUAUAGUAAUUAAGAAUUGUGAGAAAUUGCAACGUCCGUUCGAUGAUGAAGAGGAUCGGGAAUUGCACAAAUCUCACAUCAUCUCCAGAGGUGGGCCUUCCAUCCUCGCUUUUUGGAAUUACAAAUUUACAGUUUUCAGAAGCUUAAAAAAGUGUGCAAAAGAGAUCGAGGAAAAGAGUCAGAGGUGAUAGAUGGAAAAUUCAUAUACGACCCAGAGUCAGAGGUGUUGAUUCUCUUAUUAAGGUCAGCUGAUUUCUAUUAUCCACUCUGACAAUCUCUGUGUUGUUUUUUUUCCAAAAUUUUGCAGUUCCAUAUAAUUUAAAAUGCCACUCACUUGUUUGUUAAGGUAAUUAGUCCAAAGUUCUUUUAUUCACUUCAAUCAAAAUCUUAGAUUGCAGAUAUUUGUCAAUUAUUUCACUCCAAUUAUUUCAUUUUUUAUUUUAAACUAGAAUUGGAGUAUAACAUUUUGGACCGCAAAUACUCUGAUACAUGAAAUUAACUGUCUUUGAUCGUUGGAUUUUGAAAUUGAUGAUGGUGAGAUGUGUACUUAUUCCUUCUUCGGACAACCUUGCCUUCUUUCUUCGGUAGCAUAUCUACUGAACAUUUCUCUGUUUAGUUAAGGAUGGAAGCUUGGAGUGGAGUAUUUGGUAACAUUUCUGCCGUAGAUGAAACCUUGAAGAAAUGCCUGCAGUUCCUGAGACCAAAAUACACGUCUGAAAGGUUCAGUGUAAUUUUUUUUUUUUUUCAAUUUAUGGUUCCGAUCUCAGACGAGUAUUUGGUUUAGAUUACAAAACACUUAUGAUUAAUUUCAUUUUCUUUUUUAUUUCAGGGAGAAGAAGUUGUCAGUUUCAAUCCAGAACUGGAAUAUGGCAAUUUGGUGCAAGCACACAUACCUGGUCACUGGGUCAGUGAAUCUGAACUUUACACAGUUUUUGCAACUCAGUGAUUUUGGAACGCAUAUUGGUGCAAGGAAAUCAAAAGAAAUUUAUGCAUAAUCAAAUUCUGAUAUUUGCUAUAUAUUAUACAUUCUAAAAUUUCUCCAGUUUGUUCUCAUAUUACCAUCAUCUUUUGCCUUCACCAAAAAAUAAAAAAUAAAAUAAAAAAAAUAAAAAUUGAGUGGCUUUCCAGUAGAUAUUUAAUCGGAGGUAUGACUGGAUUUUUUUCACUUCUGUAAAUCUUGCAUUUUAAACUGGCAAAUUUAACUUUAAUUUUAAUACGACUUUGUUGGUGCCUUGUGUUCCAGAAGCUAGAACGAUGUGUAGUUUUCAGAUAAUGGGGCUUGUAAAUUCUCUUGUAAGAAUCCAAUAAUUUGCUUUUGCACGUUCAUUUUAUUUGUGGAUCCUUGCAUCGGAAUUUGAUCAAUCCAAAAGGAAUUGCUUUUAGACAGAAGAAGAAUAGCAGUACCUAGCCUAUGACAUAGUGUAUGGACCUUCAAACCUGAAACUAUUAGUUUGAGGUAAAAAAUCCAUGACCCUCACAUGUUAACUUCUUCUAGUUACUUUCAUGAAAAACACAUUUAAGAAAUUUGCAAUUUUUUGUUAGUUAUGUAUCCGAUGCUGUUUUCCGUUUUAGCAUUUGUAGAAUCUACUAUGUUACAUGUGGUGCCUUUUGCAUUUAACUUCCUUUAUUUGUUUUGCUUGUGACUUAAGAACACCAAUAUUUGCCAGAGUUUUAGAGAAGCGUAUCAAGAUGCCUAAAAUCUUGACAAAUUUCAAGAUCCUUCAUUCUUCACAAUGGUAGACCUGUGAGUAAAAUUAUGCCCGCAAUUAUUGUGAAGUGUUUGCAAUUUUGAUGCAGCGAAAUGGUUUGCGGAUGGAAAGGUUUAAAACUGUUAAGAAUUACCCUGCAGGCUUGUUGGAUGUUGUAUACUCCAAAAGCCACCAACACCAAGAACUGCAACAGCAAGACUAGGUUUGCGUUAAUUCAAUCAGCUGUAAUAAUGAUGCAAAUGACACUAGCAAGCUGGACUUAGAGACCAGUCAGGUCAAUCAUCCAUUUCAUCAACAGUUAAUGUCAUGAUGGUGGCUAUUAGAGGAAACAAAGGAUGUGUCGGAAUCAAUAGAACAGUGAGAAGCAUGAGAGGAGCUUUGAUUAUAAGUAGGCUCAAUGAACAAGUGUUGGUAAGUGGUAAUUAAAGAAAUUUGUGAGCUUAGUAGAGUUUCAAUAUUUUCUGUUCGGGAUUUAGUUCAUAAGUAGAUACUCUGAUUAAGAAGCCUGAUUACAGUAGGUUUUUUUUUUUUUUUUUUUUUCUGGAUUUGCUGUUAUUUUGCCUUUCGAUUAUUUUUUCAACAUUAGGUUGAUCUCUUGAAGACUACGAGGAAGAUCCAGACUUGGAUGCAGGCGUGCAGCUUUUAACAGGUGAGAACAAAUGAAUGCUUUAACCAUGUUUCUCACUUAUCACAAUGCACGGAUUGAAGGCGUCUGAGUUGAUCCUGAAAAUGUGAUGGAAAUACGUCUCUGUUUUCAUAAAACAGAACAAGUAGAGUUCUCUGAUCAUGCCUGAGAAUUCGUUGCAUUGAAAUUUCUACCAUUGCCAAACAUAGAAUAAACUGGGGAUACAUUAGCUUUAGACUCAAUUUUGAGGAGGAAGUUUGUACUUGCAGCCUAUAAAAUCAUGUCCCUGACUCCCUGUUGUAUGUUUCCUUGGGAAAUGAAAGAUUCUGCGUGUUCUUUUAUUUCAAGUCUGUUGAAAUCACAUCUGUUUUCUCAGAUGCUUUCCAGAAGGUAACAACGUCAAUUUCAAAAAUGUUGGGGUAAGAUGCAUCAUGCAGUGCUGCUCAACAUGAGAAUUCCAGGCCGCAUUACCCGUAUGUGGAAUGAUCUCACACUACAACCUUGAGAACGUUGCAAGGAGUACACAACUAGAUGCAAGUAGUUUUAAAAUGAAUUCGCAUGGAAUUAUUUCUUGCUGCUGAUUACCAUCACGUCUAUCCGAAAAUUCUUGGAAUUUGUCACCAGCAUUGAAGGAUUGUAUACGUGAAGACAUAGCUGAUGGCCUUGGAAAGCUCCAUCAGCACUUAUAUCGGAAACAGCUGGUUGUAGUUGCUCCUGAGUGAUAUGAUUAAUAGAUACUGUAAAAAUGAACUGUGCCACUCAUAUCGAAAACCAGCUGUUAAGAUGUGUUGGUAAUGUGUUUGAUGCUUGUUUGAUUUAUGUUGUAUUCGGCUACAAAUCAAAGAUCAGAACAUGGGUGUGUUACUGGUUUCCAAAUCAAAAAAUGCCUCGUGAUGUUAGUGUUCACUGUUUUCACAGGAGACCAGGUUCCUUGUUAAUGAAUCAAGAAGAAGACAAGUGAAUCCAUGUCUGAGUUCAAAUGUGUCUCUUCUAUUUCUUUUACUGACACAUUUAUUUUGAUUUCUUCAUUGUGAUUGAAUUUGGUUUUUUUCCGUUCCAAAUUAGCUAAAGCCUCCUAGAGUCAUCAAGUUCUGUUAAGCUUUGGCUAGAUGACUAAAGAGUAAAGAUAGAAGAAAUCAAAACAAAUGAGUCAGGCCCCAACUGGCCCAUUGGCCCAUCUCUCUUCCAGCCCAAAUCACUCUCAUUUGCUAUUUUGCCUCCUUCAUCUCACUGCCCUCAUAACUCGACGUUCUCACGGUGGCUGCCAUCUUUCAGCUCACGCAUCUUUCAAAUUUCAAACCUAACAGCAUUCUGUUGCUCUGUCGUGGGUACUUCAAUUUCUGUCACCUUCGGUAAGCUUAUCUCCGCCCCUCUGUGGUUCUCUGUCUUUACAAUGUUGUUUCUUAUUCAAUUUACAGAAUUGAAUUCACUGUCCAGUGUAUGGGCUAGAUUUUUAUUCAAAAUAAUAUUAAACCCACCUCAGAUUUUAUCCCGUGGUAUGUAAAGUUCAGGUAAAGUUUCCACCUUUACGACCGUCCGAUGUUUAAAGUUUUAAUUUUGUUCCGGGGUUUUAUCAGUUUAUUUUGAAAUUAUAUCCAUUGUUAUUAUGAAAAUGGAACUAUUUUCAUUUGUUUAUUUCUCUAUGGAUGAGAAAACCGGUCUUUAAUCUUUAUAAUCUUUAUUUGAUUAUUAGAUUUCUCUUUUGUUAUUCAGAUGAGUUCAGUUUUCUAAUUCUGUGCAAUUGUUUUGUUGCAUUUUUCAAUUUUAUCUUUUUCCAAUGUGACGUUUAUGUUUGUAUUUUUUUAAAAGUGGACAUCAAUUUUGAUUUUUUGUUGCUUUGUUGUGAUUGAGUAGCCAAUUUUAAGUCCAUAUUAAACUUUCUCAAUUAUUAGUUGAAUUAUUUGGAUUUGAAAUUUUAAGUUCUUAAAACCGCCAUUUUAACUUGUUUGUUAAUGACUCUGUUGAACUUCAACAUUGGUUUUCAAGAACAAAAUUGAUGGAACUAUAAACCUUCGUUUCUCACAUGCGGGCAACAGGUUAUGUUAGACAGAGUGAAAUCGACAGAAGAAACCAAAACCUUGGAAACAGAGACACAAAGAGAGAUCAGCAGAAAUGGCUUGGUGCAGAGUACGCUCAGCUUCAUCGACACUCUUCAUUAUGCUUCUCCGCCCUUCCAUUCUCAACAAUAACACUACUUAACGCUAUCAGUCCUGUGGUACUCUUGUUUCUAUACUUGUGGAAUCUCUCUUUUAAUCCUCAAAGUUUGAAUUAUAUUAUAUUGCCUCUGUAUUUCUGCAGAAACUGAAUCAGUUGGUGAUGACAUUAAUUCUCAAGUCGGAAGUUGCAUGCGACUUGCUUGUAUGCAUGUUGGGACCAUCAUCAACAACAUUGAGGUAAACUCGGCCUAGAUUUUGAAAAAGAAUCCACUUCAAGGUACUGCUUAGUUUCUGGAAAUGAGAAACUGAUUGACACUAGACGUCAACCCACCAUUGAUACAGUGUCUAACCCCAGCCAUGAAGCUAAGAUGCUUAGGAAGGCUGGUCAGAGCCGUUGGUUGGGCCGAAGACCUGUGAUUAGAGGAGUACCCAUGAAUCCAGUUGAUCAUCCUCGUGGUCGAGGUGAGGGACGAGGCAAAAGUAGCGGUAACCAUGGAAGGUGUUCACUUACACGUUGGGGCAAGCCUUGUAAGUGGUGUAAAACUGCACCUCGUUAGAAGAAAAGGAAAUUUAGCUGUCUGAUAAUAUUGUCCUUCUGUGCUAUUUAGCCUUUUUAAUAUUGUCACAUUGUUUGUUAUAUCUUUGAUGUUAGUUUUGGACCAGCUUUUAACUGAUCCAUAAUGAAACUGAAGUUUAAUUUUCGAUUGAACUUUUACUGGUUUUACACUUCUGUCAUUUCAAUUUAGCAUUGAUUUAAGAUGCUGAAUUCUGUGAUUGGAGUCUGUAGAUUGGAAAGAGAGAUAUUAUGGGAUAGAAUAUAGAUUUUGUGUUUUGGUUUCUCAUGUUUAGAGAUAUUCUGUUCUUUUUCAUUUAUUCAAUUUGGUUAGUGGUGAUCUCUUAAAGAGUCAAUGCAUGUGUGUUUAUAUACUUUUCUUUUGGCCUUGAUUCUAUUUCUUGGGGAGUUUAUACAGAUUCCUCUUUUAUGCUUCACAUGCCACAUGAAAGAUGAAAGCCUUUUGUGUGAUUAGAAUUGACUUGCAUCAUAGUAACUUUGAACCACUGUGACAUUUUUAUAAUAGCAGUCUGCGAUCUCCUUGAAGGAUUCAAAGCAUUUUUUCUGUUAGUCUUGGCUUGCAUUAAAACCCUUUAUACGGAUUGGUUGGUCUCCUUUAAAGCAAUUCCUGUUUUAAGUAAUCAAAAUCUUGAUUCGGAAGUGUGUUUUAGCACUACUAAGGUUCUUUUAAAUACUAAAUUGAUUGUGAGUCUUCUGUAUCAUCUGAUUGAAAUACAUGAAAGCGACUACAAAAAUACACUUGGGGUUGUUUAUAAAGUCUUCAACAGCAUUUUUUUUUCCCCUUCUUCCUCAUGGUUGAUUUUUUAGUUGUUCUUUAACAAAACACUUAAAAGGUUCUCUUUAUAUGUUUCUGAAAAUAAUUUUAACAUAACCAUUUUUCAGAAGCACUUUAGAUACCUGUGGCAUUUAGAAAAUUUUGUUCCAGCGUUCACAUAAUAUACAUAGAAAUUUGAAUUUAUUUAAUUAUGAGCAUGUGCUAGUGGCUAUUAGCAUCCGCUUGUAUAUACGAAUGUAUUAUACAAUACAAUAUUAGCUUGACUGUAGUAUAGAGGAGAAUAGGGUUGGAAUUGGUCUGAAUUCUGAUCUUUGAAUAAAUAUAAUAGCUGAUCAAGCUGCUCAUGUGGCUCCAUUGUCGGCAGCUUACACAAGGUCUUUUAGCUUUUUAAAAAGUUUUGUGAUAUUUCAUAGUUCACAUGGAUUGCUACAGUUUAUAGAAUACCCAAUUAGGGCAUUUUUAAUUACUAUGCAUAGGAGUCUUCUUUCUUGUGCGCGCGUGCACGUAUAUUUCCCACUUCCGUUCACUCCAAAAGUAAAAAUUGCGGGCAAUUUUUAUCUUCAGUAAAAUUGGAGUAGAUGUUGUUCUUAUUGGCGCAAAUUUGCGAACCAUGUUUGUGGGACCCUUAAACUUGGGACUUUGUUAUGAUUAUAUGCAUUCAGGCUUUCGGUAGACCCUUGGAUAGUAUGAUCAAUGUAUUAGAAUUUAGAAUUCGUAUUUAUAAGGGUCAGUUUGGUAAUGUUAUAAUUUUUAAAAUAAUUAUUGUUAGUUAUAUUAUAUAAAUAAUCAGUUGUGAAUAGAAUCAGUUAAAUAGUUGAUAAAUUUUGUUUUUAAGGUGUUGCGAGUUUUAAAAACAAUUGUAUGUAUUUAGUAAAUCUCGCUUUUAAUGUAUUAUAAGAAUGCAAAAGACUUAAAUAGAUAGAAAUCUAUAAAAUUUAUUUACAUGUGCAUUUAUACAAUAACAUUUUAUGCAUGUAUAUAAUAAUUAAUAACUGAAAUAAAUAUUUUUAUUUUAUUAAUUAUAUAUUUUUCUUGUUAUCUCAAUAUAAUUGGUAAUAAUAAUAUCUUUAAUGGUGCAUUUAUUAAUUAGUAAUCGAAAUGGGCUGGAAUCAGAAUGAGAAAUGAAAAUUAUAAUAAAUUGUUUACUUUAUCUGUAGGAAUCAAAAUCACAAUGAGCUAUAUUAUCAUUAAUAUGUUUAUUUUGUCUUGGAAUCGAAACAGAUUGUUACAAAUUACUAAACUGAUUUUAUUAUUAUCAUUAUUAUUAUUAAACGAGGUAAAAGGGAAUUUUUAAUUUUCAUGUAGAAAUGCCGAUUCACUUCUCAUUCUCAUUCUCAUUUUCCGUUACCAUUCCGCCUCCUCAUAGGAUUACCAUUUCACAUUCUCAAAAAUUUACAGUUGACUCACAUUUCAUUUUGAUUUCUCCUUAUUUUGGAAGUGAAUAAGUUAAAGAAUCAUAUUCCCUUAUUCUUGUUUUUCAUUCACAUUCCUCCUCCUUAUUUUGGAAGUAAAUAAUUUAAAGAAUCAUAUUCCCUUAUUCUUGUUCUCGUUUUCAUUCUCAAUUAGUAAGUACACUAUAAAUGCAAUGAUUUUGUUUCCUAAUUAAACAAGGAUAAUUUUUAAAUUUUUAUAAUAUAUAUGUUAAGGUAUAUGUAGAAUUGUAUUGAAUAUGAAACUGACUCCCAAAAUCAUAUUUUAAAAAAACUUUUUUUUUUAUUUUUUUAAAUUUAUUGUAGGAAGGGGUGAUUUUAUCAAAGUAAUUUUUUAAAAAAAUUUCGGACCCAUUUGGGAUUGCUUUUGGAAGGCUCAAAAAGGAUUUUGAAUAGCUAAAAUUUAAGUUUGGUGUUUUAUAAUUUUUUUUUAAAAAAAAAUUACUCCUAAUAAAAUUAUCUUAUCCACGUUAGAUUUUAAAAAGAAAGGAAAAAAGUAAUUUUUUAAAAUCUGAUUUUAAGAAUCAUUUUUAUACUUAAUACAAUUUCAUAUAUAUCUUGAUAUAUAUCAUAAAAAUUCAAAAUUAUCUUUAUUAGUUAGAAAAUAAAAUCAAUAACUUUAAAAAGAUUAUUAUUAUUUCCAAUUAUAUUGAGCUAACAAAAAGAAAUAAAAUUACUAAUAUAAAAUUUAUUUUAACUAUUAAUUAUUAUAUUUACCAAUAAAAAACAUUUUAUAUACACAAUUUAUAAAUAUUUAAAUAAAAUUUAUUCUUGUCUAUUUCAACCAUUUAUAUUAUUACAGCAAUUUAACAACUGGUUGUCAUUGCUCGGGAAUUAUAUAAUUACCAUAUGUUGUAAAAAUGCAUUGAGCCAUGCCAUGUGUUUGAUACAGGUUAUGCUUGUUCGAUUAAAUUGUACUCACCUAUAAAUCAAUGAUUCAGUACAUGUGCAUGUUAGUGGUCUUCAGAAUCCAGAAUAAUAAAUGCCUUGAAAUGCUUGAGUUCAAUGAUUUCGCAGAAGACCAGGUUCCUUGUUAAUGAGUCAGCAUGACUGAAUCCUUCACUAAGCCAAAUUUGUUUCCACUUUUAGUUUAGAAAUUGUCAUUAAUUAAGAAAAAGUUUGAUAAAAUGCUUUGGAAGGCACUAUUCGUUGGACGUUUGCCCAGAAUUUAUGAAAUCAUUGGUGUUUCAUCCUAUUCGUAACACUCUUCUUUAUCUUCUAUUCUAACGAAGAAAUCUUUUAUUAGAAAAGUGACAAGAUUGCACCUUUCAUUUGAAUGUUAAGGAGGUGUAAAAUUUUCUCGUUAAAAUCCCAUCAUGAAAAAAACUCACGGGCAAAAACCUACUGAAAAUUAAAGAAAGAAGAGUAAAUCAUGAUAAAUACUCUCUCUUUUACAAUGCAAGCGGAUGCUUCAAUGAGUAGAUCAUGCGCCAAACUUGUAUAUCGUUGUUGGUAGUGCUUUGUUCAAUCAAUAUGCUAGAUUUUCACUUUCCUUUUUUUUUUUCUUCUUUUUUUUCCUUGUGGAUGCGAAAAUGAUUUGGGUUAAACUAUACUUAAUGCCGGUUUGGUACGACUUCUCUACUAAUUAAAAGAGUUUUUUUCUUAAAUGUUCAAAAAAAAAUUUAUUAUAAAUUGUAAUUUGAGUGGAUUUCUUGGGAUUAAACAAGUUAUAUUUUUGUCUCUAUAUAGAAGUUCAAGUUACAGAUUUUGGAAAUAGAGAUGUAGAGGUUUUUUUUUUUUUUUUUUUUUUUUAGAGAACUAAAUUGUGGAGACUAUCUUUAUUUGGUUAUACAAUUUUUUUUUUUAAUUUCAUAACAUAAUUUUAAAAGACUUAUUUAAUAAGUUUGAUAUAUUUUUGUAAAAAUUAUCAUUCACGUCCAAACUACUGAAGAUUUUUUUGUUAAACGCUCUACUUAAAAGCUAUAUUAAUUAUAAACUUUCUCAAAAAAAAUCAAUUCAAAGAGUUAUAGCAAACAAAGUGCUAGUUAACUUCAGUCGAUAAUAAUCUUCUAAUCCCUCCUACAAAUGACUUUCGACAAGAGUGGUGCUACUCCCAUCUCUUCAAAGCCCAUUUGACACCCCGUUUUCUUUAUUUAAAAUUUUAUACAUUUGAAAAUUAUAUUUUCUUUUACUUGACACUCUUCAAAUUCUAAAACUAAGCUUCAAAGAACCUUCGUCAUUAAAUCUCAUUGCCUUCCUUUAUUCUUGUUACUUGAGAAGAAGAAUGAGAGUCUGGAAGAAUGAAAGAAAAUUCAGCGAGAUAGAAAUCUAGUAAUUUCAUACCAUGAUUCAGAAUUUUUUUUUUCUCAAAAGAAUCUACUAUUCUUCUAUAUUUUAUAUAAAAAAAAGAGGAAAAGAGGAAACUGAGAGACUCUUUGUUUAAUGCUUGAAAGUUAGAAACAAAAGGUCCGGAAGCUGCCUGGCAAUGAGAGUGAUGCAUCAGCACUAAUUUCUAUCUCGAUAGCUACCAAUUACCACCCCUAGAAAGGCUGUUGAUCAACAAGCCAUAUCUACUGGUUUCCUUUCUUUAAAAGUUCUAAUGGUCCCCUUAAAAAUCUCUAUAUAGCUCAGUCUUCUCAUGAUAUAUCUGAUUUUCGCUGAGAAUUAUAGCAAGCACUUCAGAUAUCAUAAUACUUUGUGACUGACUACUGUGCAUGCUUAAUUAUAAGAUUAUUCCUUGUGGCCAAUUAAAAUGACCCCCUUUAGAGCCUCUGUAUUUGAAAAAGCAAGACAAUGAGCUUAAUUAUUGUCAAGGUCUCCGGUAGGAUACUCCUAAAUCCACAUACCCACCCACCAGAACUCCAAUCUUGAAACUUAUAGAUCAAACCAUAACUUAAUGUGCCUGACAACCAGGGAUAUGUCAGGCCUUUAAAGCACGGGAAAUUUACAGUAAUAACCAAAAAAAUUUCCCUUUUUUUCAUCUUAACCCCCUAAAAAUAUUUCUAUCAACAUUAGCCAUAAAACAACAUUUGAGACCAAAAUACCCCUCCCUCAUCUCUUCCCCAACACUCCCUUUCACUCAUCUCUCCCAAACCGAUCCAACUCCCAUCAUCGGCGGCGACAUCAUCCCUCGUCGGCGGCGGCUCCAUCUCUCACCGGCAUCCGAUCUACAACCUUCAACAAAACCUAGGUUAGUCAUUUUUCUUAUUUUCAUUAAUUUAAAAUGAGAUUUUAGAAUAAUAAUAGUUAUAGCUUGAGAUUAAUAGUGGUGGUGAUGAUGUUUGUGGUGGUUGGUGGUGUUUGGGAGUAUUGUUUUCGAUUUUGGAGUGAUUGUGCUUAAUUUUGCGGGUGGGGAGGGAGGAGGGCAGGGCGCGCGCGCGCGCCCAUCGCUGGGCAGCAGCGCGCGCCCAUGCGCGGCACGCUGUUGCACCAAAUCUGGUGUGACAGCAGGCGCUGUCGCACCAGAUCUGGUGCGACGGGCGCGUGUCGCACCAGAGCUGGUGCGACAGGCUUGCCCGUCGCACCAAAAAUUAGAUUUUUUUUUGUAACGAGUUAAUUUUUUUUUUUUUAUAAAUGUAAUGUAAUAAUUUUAUAAAUAUUACAGAUACAUGGCGAAAUCAGAAUCACCGGAUAUUGAAGUAGGCAAGAUGUAUUUUCGUUAUGCUGAUCACUUUCCUGGUCGAAUUUCGAGCAUGUGUAUGUUAUCUUCGGUCGUUAAAGCCAUCGAGGAAAAAUUAACAAACCGGCAGUUGCGUAUGUUCAAAAAGGAUAUAUUUGGGCAUUUCUUGGAGUGUCGAAGUUUUCCAUUUAGUGGGGUAAUUUUGCACAAUCUUUUACUGCGGCAAGUGGCCCAUGAAGAAGAUAGCCGUGAGGAUUAGUUAUGGUUUCAAAUUGGUAACCAUUUGAUUCGCUUGUCAAUUGUCGAAUGGUGCUUGGUUACUGGACUUUCAUUUGGUGUUGAUACCAAUCAAAAAAAUGAUGAAAUGGAGCAGAGGCUACGGAAUACGUAUUUUGGUGGUGUGCAUCGUAAGAUUAAUGUGAAGCAAUUCGAUGCAGUAUUUAAGGAGUUGAAAUUCGAGGAAAUUGACGAUAUGGACGCAUUAAAGAUUGCGUUGUUUUAUUUUGCGGACAGAGUACUAAAUGCAAGAAAAAAUCACUGUCAAAUUAAUUUCGAUUGGCUUGACCAAGUUGAUGAUAUACAGUACUUCCGAAAGCGUCCAUGGGGUCUAUUGUCGUGGGAAAUGAUUUACGAGAGUCUUGACAAUGCACUGUUCGAGAAAGACGAGAAAUUUAAGAAGACUCGGUUGAAAAAUCCAGAUCAUAAUAUUGAAAAAUACAAUCUUUACGGCUUUACGUGUGGGGUUCAGGUGCUAUUUUUUUUGUUUAUUAAUAAGUUUUAUAGUAUUAAAUAUUUGAUAGUUGUUUUAUUUGAUUUUUCACUUUGGUUGUUGUAGGCUUGGAUUUACGAAGCAAUCGGAGGGUUGCCAUCGACAUGGGUCGUCAAAACGAAGAAUAAGAUUCCCCGCAUUCUGCAAUGGAAGCCCAUGGCGUCUUCGAGAAUCAACUUUGCGGAGGUUUAUUCGUUCUUCAACGACGAAUCUCGUCUUGUAAGUAAUAUGUAUUACCUAUUUUUUUAACUUUACUAAAUUUAAGUUAUGUAUACUUACUUAAAAUUUUAAAUUGAAUUUAUGGAAGGGGGACGUUUUACAAACUCUUGAGCCAAAUUCAAAGGAGAGUAGCAGAAAUUAUUGGCUCUCUGUGAAGGAUUACUUGCCAAGCAUUCCAGACUGGGUUCAUAAGGUCGGUAUACUCUGGGCACUAAAAAUUUGUUAAUCGAAAUUUUUGACUUUUCAUUUACUAAUUUUAAAUGAUACUUUAUACAGCACCAACCCUCAAUCAACGCGAUGCCGUCGGUUACAAGGCAAUCAGACGAGCAUGACGAUCAUGACGACAUACCAAACCCAAUACCAGAGCAGCGUCAUGACACUUUUGAGGAUGAGGUGGCUGUUGAUGACCACCAGCAGCAAACAGACAACUCUGAUGACGCACGGGAUUCUGAGGUUAGAAAUAAUAUACGAUAUUUUUUUUUAUAAAUUAUUAUUUUUUUAUUGUUAUUCUAAAGUUUUAUUUUUUUCUUUUGUAAUAGUCGAGGACAAAGCAGUUUAAUGAUUACGUACGACGACGGCUGGAUAAGAUUGAUCGUAACGUGUAUGAAAUAAAGUCAGAAUUAAAAGAUUUUAAAGAAACUGUUGUUGGCUUCAUCGACACAUUUUCUAAACGUCCAAAUAAGGAUUCUCCCACUGCACGCUCGUAUGCGGUAAGCUAAUUUAAAUUUAAUAAUAAUGUGGCUGUUGAUGACCACCAGCAGCAAACAGACAACUCUGAUGACGCACGGGAUUCUGAGGUUAGAAACGUUGGAGUGUAUACUGACGUGGGCAAUGAAAAUUUGUCUACGCCCACGUCAUUGUAUAGUUUCUACGGGGAUGUAAGUGGGGAGAGCGUGCAGGUGUUCACAGAGGUGCCUCCGGGCGUUAGUAAGUUCGGCCGCGCGUACAUACCGUCGUAUGUUUAUAACAGUCCUUAUAUGAUUCCUCCGGUCAGGCGAGGACAGAACGUCCGGCCUUUACCUCGACCCCAAAUCAUGGAGCAUGCGAUUGACAUGAGUACGAGUGUGGAUGUAAAUCCACUGAGAGGAUUGGAGGACUCUAGUCUGUUUGCUGAGUUUGAUCGAUGGUUCACUGGUGAUAGCAGAGUCCGCCGGAGAGUCCAGCACCCGCGGUCAUUCUUUCAAAUAAUUUUGGGGACAACUUCGAUGGGAUGGCUAGGCGAUGAGGUAUUUAUAAUUUCCUCGUGGUGUAUACUGUUGUGAAUUUGUGUUUAAAUUUUUUUUUAAAAACUCGUAAUAUUUCUGUUUCUCUACAGCAUAUUCACGAGUAUCUCCGCUUGAUUAGCGAGAAACAACGGCAGUAUCCAAAUGCCUUACUCCAACGUGUCACACAUACUGACACAUUUUUUUGGGUAACGUGCCGACAAAACUUAUAAAUUUUAUUAAAUUAUAAAAAUUUAAGUUUUAUUAAUUUAUGCAUUUCUUGGUUAUCUAUGUAUUAGGUGUUCUUGAAUCAGUUAUGGAAUAACGGGAAUUGUGCAGUCGAUUCAAUGGUAUUCGACGACCGCUUGAAUAGUUAUCUUUGUGGGCGACAGCACACAAUGUCUAAAUCAAUGACGGAUGUCGAUAUGGUAUGUAUUUUAUUACAUUUCACAUGCUAUAUAAUGAAAAUAUUCAAGUAGGUGCUAUUUCUUUGUUGUAUUUUAAUUUUCAUACAUAACGAACAUGUUUUUCAAUUGUUAUAUGCAGUUACUCAUCCCUGUUAACUUGGACGGCGCGCAUUGGGUACUAGCACGAGUUGACUUUCGGAAAAAUAAAGUCUGGAUUUAUGACUCAUUACUCUCAAAUCGCGACGACAAAAGGUACAAGUUGAAAUUCAAGCCACUUGAAGUUAUAUUCCCUCGAUGGUUGGAAUAUGUUGGCUUCUACAAUAUCCGACCGGAGUUGCGGAGUGAAGACCCGUGGAAAGUUAUCGCAGUUAAGAGCGCGCCACAACAAGAGCCCGGAAUUGGCGAUUGCGGUGUUUUUGUAUUGAUGGUUACGAUGUAUUUAAUGUUCAGGCUUAGAUUGGAGUUUAACGCUAGUCAUGUCGAGUACUUUAGAAAGAAGAUUGCGGUUGAUAUAUUUAAUGACGAUAUUAUAUUGUAAACCUAUGUAGUAAUUUAAAUGUUGAAAUUUGAUUUUUUUUUUACUUCGCGCACUUAAGUUUAUAUAAUUUUAAUGCCUCACAUUUUAAACUUUAAAUAAAGUUUUAUGAAAUAUAAGUGUACAAUACACAAAAAACAAUAACAGUUUUAACCAACGAAACACAAAAACAAUAAUAGUUUUAACAAACUCAUAACACACAAAAUACAACUAACUUCGAGUCGACGCAAUGGGAUUCUUACAUCUCUUACGAUUAUGGCCUAGUUCAUGACACCGACCGCAUCUUACAGUCCGCCGGUCAACGUCCUCGCCAGCCGAGGGUAUUCUGAGCUCUUUACGACGGCCAGGUGGUGGUGCCUCAACUGGUGGGUAUACUUGCAUCUCCUGAAUUUCAUCUGGAACUUCCCAAUCAGCCACAUCACCAACUGGCUCUACUGGUUGUGCAUAAGCCAUCGCCAACGAUUCUGUAGUGUAAAAGUCCGAGCAAAGGUUAAUAAAAUCCACCCGGUGUGUUAAACACGCCGCAAUUGCAUGAGCACACACAAGCUGAUCAAGCUGGAACACUCUGCAGGAGCAAGUUCUCUUUUGCAAGUCAACCAAACCUUCCUUAAGCCCACCGCCUACCACUUGAAAUCGAUGCGGAGACACCGGCCGAACUAUCAUUCUUUCAGCUAUAGUUCUCCUCUCAGUGACUAUUUCAUCCGCCCAUGUUGUUAGCCGAGUAGUCAUUGAUUCAGCCACAAUUUUUCUAUCAUAAAACCAUUGCUGCAUUGUUUUUCUAAAGUGAUCAACAAGAUGAGUAACAGGAAAUUUUCGAGGUUCCCGCAUGAAAGAAUUAACACUCUCCGCGAUGUUGGUGGUAAGUAUGCUGUACCUCCUACCUUCAAACUGAGACCUUGCCCAAUUACACGUACCGACAUUAUUUUCUAGGUAAUCAGCCGCACCCGAGUGGAUCAUCCACAACCCUUCAAGUUGUCUCUUAAAUUCCUCGUGGCCAUAUGCUUUUGCUGCAUUAAUAAAGGCAGGCUCAAAUUGAUCCCAAAGAGCUUUGGACAUUCUAAACUGAGACUUAAUGUUACCUUUGACGUGGUAAAAACAAACGCCAUGACUUGCAUUGUGAAAUACUUUAAGAACGGCUCUCCUUAUGGCAGUGCAUCGAUCAGAGAUAAUUACCAACUCAGGUCUAUCGCCAAUCACUCCGUGUAACUUCAUCAUAAACCAUUCCCAAGCAUCAUUGUUUUCUGAAUCCAUGAUCCCAAUCGCUAACGGAUACAAUUGAUUGUUACCAUCAAGACAUGUUGCCACGAACAUGCUUCCACGAUAUAGUCCCUUCAGAUGAGUACCAUCUACAGCAAUGACAGGCCGAAUGUACUGCAUAAAACCCUUGAUGGAAGAUCCGAGUGCUACAAAAUAGUACAAGAAAUUACCAUCUCCAUCCUGCUCGAGGUGAGUGACUGUACCCUCAUUAGCUGUAGUUAGUACGUGAGAGUAUUUAGGGAGCAAGUUGUAUGACUCUGCAGGGUUGCCUCGAACUAUUUCAAGACCAACUUCUCUUGCCCGAUAUGCCUGCUGGUAUGUUAACUGAACACCGUAUUCCUGUUGCAUAUCUGCUCUUAUGUCAUUCGGAGUAUAAAUCCUCUUGUCUUGAAUAUAUUUUUCUGCGAUAAUAUGACCGACAACCCGGCUCCUUACUUGAUGACGUCCAUCAACCAAUACCUCAUUAUGACAAGUGUGUACAUUGUCAAUUCUCUUCACCACCCAAGGAACAUUUUGCUCGUUCGAACAUCUAGUUGCUCGAAUACGCCAUUUACAUGAUUCUGAACAACAGUGAGCCUCGAAACGUGUCGUAGUAGACCGUGCAAUCUUGAAAUCAAACUUAUCUCUAAAGGCAACCUUGCGUAGUUGUAAUAUAAACUCAUUCUUCUCAGCAAAUAGCUUACCCACACUGAUAUCAUCUGAAUCACAACUGCUAACAAAACUUGGAGCAACCAUGUUCGAAGGCAAAGUUGGAGUAAGACUUGUAAGGGGGUUCGCCUUCUCGAUCGAACCAUAGAAGGACUAGGUCUAUUGCCUCUGUUAUUCACAGGAGUAUUGUCUUCACACUCAUCGUCGUGCUGAAACGACGGAACAUUCGAAGGACCGGCUCCUCCAUCAUCACCAUCAUUAUUGAAAUGAGUGCCCCUCGUAUUAUUAGAAGGUUCUGCACAAGCAUUAUCCCCCUCUGUCUCAUGAUGAAAAUCAUCAUUGUCCCGAAAAUCAUUGUUGUGAUACGGAGAAUACCGUUGCUCCAACGACAUCGUUAUUGGAAAUACCGUUGCUCCAACAUCCUCUAACGUAACGCCGUUAUCAUCAAUGUUGUCAUAAUUGUCGUGGAUUGGAGAGUAAUAUUGCUGCAACGAUAUUGUCCUUGGCAACACCUCUUCAUUAUUAUCGGGGCCAGACAUAUUUGCUCUAAACGAAGUUUCUGUAUCGACAUGUGGCUCAAUACCUUCGCUCGGAACUCGAGGUGAUGUGGUCACGAAUAUAGGAAUGCAUCCAAAAUUGGCUACGUCGGAUGCCAUAUGCAACACAACCCUCACCAUUUCAUCAUUAAAUAUAUCCAUGGGCAGUGCACAUAUACGAUAUAAUGUGUUACUAGACCUCAAAGUUGUCUUCAUUGUAAUACUAUAUUCAUUAGGGUUUAUUUGUAACACCUCGUAUACUCUUGCCAAUAACUGAUCAAACAGACAAUUUUUUCCAACCAAAAAAGCUCGAUUUUUACCAUUCACAUACUCCAUACGGCCAUCCUCUAAUGUCUCCCACCAACCAUCGUAACACAAUUCAAGUACAACUGAAUCCAUUAAGCCUGAAAUUAUCAAAAAAAAAUUAAUUGGAUCCGGAUCAAAUUAAUACAGUUUUAAUGAAUCUCUAAGGCUUGGUGCGACAGACAGCCUGUCGCCCGAAGCUUGGUGCGACAGGCAGCCCGUCGCCAGAUUCACCCACGACUCAGUUAACCAAGUUCAGAAAAUAACUCAUACCACCAAGUUCAGAAAAUAACUCAUACCACUAAGUGAUGCCGAUUAGUGUUGGAUUCGGAUAGAUUAUGAUCGGAUUUCACUUUUACUGUUGUCUUUUGCCGUCGACGUUGGUUGAUGAUUAAGCUGCGUUUGGUCUGACGAUAUGGGAGAAAGAUUGUUGCUUUUGGUCUGUAAAGAAGGGUAAUUUGGGGAGAAAGGCUUGUGUUUGGCUAAUGUUGAUAGAAAAAAGUUGAGAGGGUUAGUUGUGAAAAUAAUAAAAUAUUUAUGGCUAUUUUCGUAAAUUUCCCUUAAAGCACCACUACAUACGUUUGAGUCUGAAAUUGCUCCAAUUAGUAUUAUGAUUAUUAUUUUAAAAAACUCAACCUGAGCAACGUGCCUCAGCAUACAAUAUUUAUUGAGAACUACAAAGUAAUAGUGGGAGGGGGUUGCCCUGGGUUUUGUUUAAAAAUUGAAGUAAAAAAUUUUCAAAUUUCAAAUUUCUAGUACAAAGAAAAUUGAUGACUAAAUUAAAUUCUGCAAAUUAAUUUCUAAUAUUACAUGAAAAUAUUAUCAAGUUAAUUGGUAACAUCGUUAAUCACUUAAUCCUCAAUCUAAUACGUUAUGUAUUUGUUACUCUGUCUUAAAUCAAAAGUCGCGGUGAUUUAUUUUUUAUUUUCACUAAUCAGAAAGGCAUGUUAGAGCUUUUAUUUUGUUGAAAAUGAACCAAAAAAACUCCGAUUGGGAGAUUAUAAAUGUAAUUAACAAUAAUUUAACUUUCAUUUUGAAAGUCAUUAUAUUAUUUAUUCAGGAGAAGCGUUCUUUUAUAUUUUAUAGAUAUAAUGUUUGCUAAUCCUAAUUUAAGCUAAAGCAUAUGCAUUUCCUAAUUAAUUCUAAUUUAAGCUUAUUCAACUGCAAUCAAUUAAUAUUCGAUAAUACAAAUUCCAAAUACUAUAUACUCUAAGAAUUUUAAUCGUAAUGACAAGGUGAUAAUUUAAUUAUUACCGUUAAGUUAUAUAUGUAUGGUGGAGAGGAGUCCACACGGUUUUGACGAGAAAUUAAAGACAAUAUUUAGUUAAGCUAGUAGUAUUUGUUCUGUUUAGUACGUCGUUUUACCAGCAAGCAUCCCGGCAAUGCACGCAUUAAUAAAAAAAUUUAUCUAUUUGGACUGAUUGGUAGUGAAAAAUUCCACAUACUUUAAAUUAAGAAAAUGCUAAGCAUCUUAAAGAAAACAAUUAAAAUAUUGUCACUUGAUGCUUGAAUCAUUAUUUUUAAAUAUCUCCGUUGAGUUGUAUUCCCCAGUUGUGAGUAUCAUUAUUGUCUUUGCUAUCUAAUCAAUUCAAUUUUCUUUCUGGAGACAAGAUUUUAAUUCCUUUCAUCGUUACAAAAACGGAACCAUGGUUGAUGUGGGAGAGAUCUUACUCAACGCCCUCUUUCAGGUGUUGUUCGACAGGUUGGCUUCCCGUGAUUUGCUCAGCUUUGUCCGUCAACUUGGAGGGGGGGUCGAUUCCGAGCUCAAGAAGUGGGAAAGAAAGCUGAAGAUGAUUCAGGCGGUGCUCAAUGAUGCAGAGGAGAAGCAACUGACCGACGAGGCUGUGAAGAUGUGGCUGGACGAUCUCCAAGACUUGGCUUAUGACGCUGAGGACAUUCUUGAUGAGUUUGCUACUCAAGCUUUGGAAAGCAAGUUGAUGGAGCAAAAUCAGGAUAGCUCUGGCCAGGUUCUCAGUUUCAUCCCGGCUAGUUUGAAUCCGAAUGCUAUUAUGUUCAAUUAUAGCAUGGGGUCCAAGAUUAAAGAUAUUACUAGUCGGCUGGAGCAACUCUGCCAAGAAAGAAUUGAACUUGGACUGCAACGGAUUACUGGAGGGGCAUCAUCAACUGCUGCUGCUACACAGCAGAGGCCGCCCAGUUCGAGUGUCCCAACAGAACGUGAAGUAUUUGGAAGAGAAGAAGAUAAGGCCAAAAUUCUUGAUAUGGUAUUGGCCGAUACCCCAAGUGAUCAUGCCGACUUUGUUGUAAUACCCAUUGUUGGCAUGGGCGGGAUAGGAAAAACAACUCUCGCUCGGGAGGUUUACAAUGACAAGGCCGUUGGAGAUUCCAAGUUUGAUGUAAAAGCAUGGGUUUGCGUAUCUGACGUCUUUGAUGUUUUGGGCAUCUCAAAGGCACUUCUUGAGUCAAUCACCCGCAGGCCUUGUCUUCUAAACAGUUUAAACGAAGUGCAGGUUGAAUUGAAAGUAGCUGUGGAUAAAAAAAGAUUCUUGCUGGUCUUAGAUGAUGUUUGGAACGAGGAGUACAGCUUGUGGGUAGACUUAAAAGCUCCGUUCCUGGCUGCUGCACCAAACAGUAAGAUGAUUGUCACCACACGCAAUUCAAAUGUUGCAUCAACAAUGGGACCCAUUGAACAUUACAAUCUCAAGAGUCUGUCAGAUGAUGAUUGCUGGUCCAUUUUCAUAAAGCAUGCAUUUGAAUCUAGAGAUCUUAACGCACAUCAAAUUUCAGAAUCAUUCCGCAAGAAAGUUGUUGCCAAGUGUGGAGGCUUGGCCCUGGCAGCAAAAACACUCGGAGGCCUUCUGCGUACGACGAGGCAUGAUGCGUGGGAUGAUAUAUUAGAGAGCAAAAUAUGGGAUUUACCUCGACAAAGUGGGGUUCUCCCAGUAUUAAGAUUGAGUUACCAUCAUCUUCCUUUUCAUUUGAAAAGAUGUUUUGCUUUCUGUGCAAUCUUUCCAAAAGAUUAUGAAUUCAAUGAGAAGGAGGUGACUUUUUUAUGGAUGGCCGGAGGUAUUAUUCGACAGUCAGGAAGCAAAGAGCGGCUAGAAGAUUGGGGCAGCAAGUGCUUCCAUGAUCUGGUGUCAAGGUCAAUUUUUCAGCAAACAGCAAUCUCUGAUAGUUCUAAAUUUGUAAUGCAUGACCUUAUUCAUGAUCUUGCUGAAUUGGUCUCUGGAGAAACCAUAUUUAGGUUAGAGGAGGCCAAUACUCUGUCAAGAAGAUUUGAAAGGGUUCGCCAUUCUUCCUAUGCUUGUGGUGAAUAUGAUGGUAAAAAUAUGUUCGAGGUUUUCAAUGAAAUUGAACAUCUACGAACAUUCUUGCCAUUACGCUUACGCAUAAGAGGUGGCUCUAAUACUAGUUACAUAACUCGUACGGUUCUAUCUGAUUUGCUGCCGAAGUUCAAAAUGUUGAGAACGCUAUCUUUACAAGGAUACCGUAUCGGUGAGUUACCAAUUCCAUUUGAAGAUUUGAGACUUCUAAGGUUCCUCAACCUUGCUGACACUGACAUAAGAAGUUUACCUGAGUCAACAUGCAAAUUGCUGAACUUGGAAAUUUUGAUAUUAAGGAAUUGUUCCUGUUUAACAAAGCUUCCCCAGAAAAUGAGGAAUUUGAUCAAUUUACGUCAUCUCGAUAUAAGAGGUGCGAAGUUGCUGAAGGAGAUGCCAUUCGGAAUGAAAGAGUUGAAGAAGCUUCAAACAUUGUCCAAUUUUAUUGUAGGCAAGGGUGAAUCCGCAUCUGGUUUGGAAGAUUUAAAAAGUUUAAACCUUCUUUGUGAUGAACUCUGCAUUGCUGGAUUAGAGAAUGUGAAUAAUCCACAGAAUGCAAGAAGAGCCGCAUUAUGCGAGAAGCUCAAUCUUGAAGCAUUGACUCUAGAAUGGGGGUCUCAAUCUGACAGUCCUCGAGAUGCAGUACCAGAAGAGAAUGUACUUGACACUCUACAGCCUCAUAAACGUAUAAAAGAGCUGGCAAUCAGGCACUAUGGUGGUGCAAGAUUUCCACUUUGGAUCGGAGAUCCUUCAUUCUCCGGGAUGAAGGUCCUUAAAUUGGAGAACUGUGACAAUUGUGUAUCUCUGCCAUCGCUUGGCCUGUUGAGUUCACUUAAGCACCUUGCUGUUAAAGGGCUGAAGAAACUAAAAAGCAUAGAGUCUGAGGUUUAUGGGGAGGGUUUCUCAAUGCCUUUUCCAUCACUGGAGAUUCUAAGUUUCGAGAAUUUGCCAGAAUGGGAGCAUUGGGACACCGAGAUCAAAGGAAAUGUGCCUGUUGAUAUAUUUCCUCGUCUCCAAGAACUUUCCAUUGCAGAAUGUCCCAAACUCUCCGGAAAACUGCCUGAGCUCCUGCCCUCCUUGAAGACACUUGUUGUUAGUAAAUGUGAAAAGUUGGUAGUUCCAUUGUCUUGCUAUCCGAUGCUCUGCAGAUUAGAAGUUGAUGAGUGCAAAGAACUAGUCUGCCGGACUCCGAUUGAUGUUGAGUUGAUAAAGUCUAUGACUAUUUCAAAUAGUUCAUUAGACCUGAAUGGAUGCAAGGGGAUGCUAUACGAUGGUUCAGCUGGCUCUUCACUGCCAAAGCCCAUGACUACUACAAAUGUUUUGGAGUUUGGAAAAUUAUUGAAGCCUGGAUUUCAGAUAUUCGAAACUUUGGUAAUUGGCAAUUCUGAACAGCUCAAGUCAUGGAGGCAGCAUGGGGAUUUUCCGAAAAAAUACAUGGUCACUGACCAUGGGUUUAAGAAACCAGUACGAGGGCUGAAUAUGCUCGCUUCCCCUGAAGAGGUAACAAUUGAAGAAAGUUGCGUACGUCUUGUUUUGUUUCCAGAGAUCAAUUUCUUUCCCAGAAAUCUGCGCUCUCUUCUAAUUGAUAACAGCACUGCUUUCAAAUCCUUACCCGAGGAAAUGAUGGAAAACAAUUCACAACUGGAAAGGUUGUAUAUCAGAGAUUGCGACUCUCUAACAUUCAUCGCAAGACGGAGGCUACCAGCAUCUCUUAAAAGGCUUGAGAUAGAAAAUUGUGAGAAAUUGCAACGUCUGUUCGAUGAUGAAGAGGAUGCUUCUUCUUCUUCUCCUGCAUCCUCGUCUUCCCCAGUGAUGCUGCAACACCUGAGAAUAGAGAACUGCCCAGAGCUCACCAGUUUAUCAUCGGGUGUCCAAUUCCUCGAGGCGCUUGAAUACCUCGAGAUACGGGAUUGUCGAAAGCUAGAGUCAAUACCGGAUGGCCUGCCCAAUCUUAACUGUUUACAGAGCAUUCAUAUAUGGAAAUGUGACAAGCUCGAAGCCCUGCCCACUGACAUGCACAAACUCAACUCUCUUCGAGAUUUAAGCAUAUUGCGGUUUCGAAAUCUUGUAUCGUUUCCAGAAGAAGGUUUUUCUACCAAUCUAACAUCACUUAUAAUUGGAUAUGUCAAAAUGUGUAAGACACUCGUCCAGUGGGGGUUGCACAGGCUUACCUCUCUUAAACGCCUCUGGAUUGUUGUACGUGAUGAUGAAGCAGAGUGUUUUCCAGACGAGGAGAUAGGAAUGACGCUGCCCACCUCUCUCACUGAUCUGGACCUUUCGGGAUUCGAAAAAUUGAUAUCUCUGUCUUCGACGGGUUUUCAGAGCCUCACCUCUCUUCAAUCUUUGUGGAUAUUGGGUUGCCCAAAUCUCACAUCAUUUCCAGAGGUGGGCCUUCCAUCCUCACUUUUGGAAUUACACAUUAGAGAUUGUCCAAAGCUUAAAAAAGCGUGCAAAAGAGAUGAAGGAAAAGAGUGGCCCAAAAUUGCUAACAUCCCUCGCGUUGAGAUAGACAGCAAAUUCAUAUACGAUCCAGAAUCAGAGGAGUAGAUUCUACUAUUAAGGUCAGUUGAUUUGUAUUAUCCGCUAUAACAAGCCCCUCCUUUUUUUUUCUUUUUUUUUUUAAAUAAUAAUUUUGCAGUCACUCACGUGAUUCCGUUUUCACAAGUCAGAUUGUAUGUUGAGGCUAUUUGCCUUCUAAUCGCAGAUUAAAUUAUAACACUUAUCUUAAAAUUUAAUACCAUAGAUAGAUAGACGAUUUUUUAAUCCAAAGCUUUUUUUAUUCACUUCAGUUAGCAUUUUUUUUUUCCCCAAAUCAUGCAAGCCGAGAGUUUCAAUCAAGAAUUGGAGGAUGUGAAUGGGAUUUUUGUGAAAGAGUAACAUAAUGGAUGACCGAACAUUUCAUAUGUGAUCUCAAAGUCAACAGAAUUUUAUUCACUCAUUGACUUUUCAACUGCUGUGGUUAUUUAUGGGUGAAAGAAAGAUAAGGGCAAUUACAAAAAAUUUGCAAAAUUUGUCAAUUUCUUAGAUGGUAGAUAUAUCUACAUUUUAGAUUUCAUAUAUUUUGAUGCUUUUUUAAAUUUUUGAUCUAGUAAAAAUACAUAGCCUUCACCGGCAGGAUUCAAGUCUUGUCUUCAAUGGGUUUUCAAAGCCUCGCCUCUCUUCGAUUUUUGUGGAUCGCUUCGAUUUUUGCACAAAUCUCACAUCAUUUCCCGAGGUCGAGGAAAAGAGCGGCCCAAACUUGCUCGCAUCCCUUGGGUUAUGAUAGAUGGAAAAUUCAUAUACGAUCCAUAGUCAGAGGUGUAGAUUCUCUUAUUAAGGUCAGCUGAUUUCUAUCAUCCACUCUGACAAUCUCCUAUUAAUGUUUUUCCAUUUUUUUUUUCAAAAUUUUGCUGUUCCGUAUAAUUGAAAAUGCCACUCACUUGUUUCCUAUUAGUAUGUUGAGGCUAUUUGCUUUCCAUCAGUGUUUGUUAAGGUAAUUAGUGCUCCCUCAUAGGUAUGACUGGAUUUUUUUCACUUCCGUAAAUAUUGCAUUUUAGACUGGCAAAUUUAGCAGUAAUUUUAAUACAAUUUUGUUGGUGCCUUUUGUUCCAGAAGCUAGAAAAAUGUGUAGUUUUCAGAUAAGGAGGCUCGUCAGUUCUUUAGUAAGAAUCCAAUAAUUUGCUUUUGCACGUCCAUCUAAUUUGUGGAUCCUUGCAUCAGAAUUUGAUCAAUCCAAAAGGAAUUGCUUUUAGACAGAAAAAGAAUAGCAGUACCUAGCCUAUGUCAUAGUGUAUGGACCCGCAAACCUGAAACUAUUAGAUUGAGGUAAAAAAAUCAUUGACCCUCACAUGUUAACUUCUUCUAGUUACUUUCGUUGGGAAAAAAACAUUUAAGGAAUUUGCAAUUUGUUGUUAGUUAUGGUAUCUGAUGUUCUUUUCUGUUUUAGCGUUUGUAGAGUCUACUGUAUUAUGUGUUGGCAGUUGCCGUAUCUGAGGUAACUUGCCUUUAUUUGCCAGAGAUUUAGAGAAGCAUCUCAAAACACAGCAAACUUGAAAAACUUCAAGAUGCACUUGCCCCCACGCCUUAUUCUCCACAACACAAAACUUGUGAGUACACCUAUGCCUGCAAUUAUUGUGAAGUGUUCGCAAUUCUGAUGCAGAGAAAUGGUUUCUUGAUGCAAAGUAUUAAACUGUUAAGAUUUAUCCUGCAGGCUUGUUUGAUGCUGUAUACUCGAAAAGCCAACAACAUCAAGAACUACAACUCCAAGACCAGCUUUGUGUUAAUUCAGUCAGCUGUAAUAAUGAUGCAAAUGACACUAUAUCAAGCUGGACUUAGAGACUAGUCAGAUCAAUCAUCCAUUUCAUGAACGGUUAAUGUCAUGAUGGUGGCUAUCAGAGGAAACAAAAGAUGUGUCGGAAUCUAUACGAACAUUGAGAAGCGUGAGAGGAGCUUUGAUUUUGAGUAGGGUCAAUGAACUCAUGUUGGUAAGUGGUAAUUAAAGAAAUUUGUAAGCUUAAUAGAGUUUCAGUAUUUUCUGUUUGGAGUAUAGUUGAUAAGUUGACUCUGUUUAAGAAGCCCUAUUAUAGUAGUUGACUGUAUUAUCCUUUUUUUUUUGGUCUGCUGUUGUUUUUGGUUUCGAUUAUUUUUUCAACAUUGGGUUGAUCUGUUGAAGAACAAGCUUGGGUUUGAUUAUGCUUUAACUACAAGGAAGAGCCAGACUUGGAUGCAGGCGUUAAGCUUUUAAUGGGUAAGAACAAAUGAAUGCUUUAACCAUGUUUCUCACUUAUUAAAAUGCACGGAUUGAAGGCAUCUAGGUUGAUCCUGACAAUGUGAUGGAAAUACUUCUCUGUUUUCAUAUAAUAGGACAAAUAGAGAUCUCUGAUCAUGCCUGAAUUUUUGUUGCAUUGAAAUUUCUACCAUUACCAAACAUAGAAUGAAUUCAUUAGCUUAAGCCUCAAUUUUGAGAAGGAAGUUUGUACUUGCAGCCUAUAAAAUCAUGUCCGUGUCGUACGUUUCUUUGGGAAAUGAAAGAUUCUGUGUUCUUUUAUUUCAAGUUCACUGAAAUCACAUUUGUUUCCUCAGAUGCUUUCCAGAAGGUAACAACAUCAAUUUCAAAAAUGCUGGGGCAAGAUGCAUCAUGCAGUGCGACUCAACUUGAGAAUUCCUGGCCACAUUACCCGUAUGUCGAAUGAUCGCACAGUACAACCUUUAGAAGCUUGUAAUGAGUACACAACUGGGUGCAAGUAGUUUCGAAAUGAAUUUGCCUCAAAUGAUUUCUUGCUCACAUCCCUUGGGUUAUGAUAGAUGGAAAAUUCAUAUACGAUCCAGAGUCAGAGGUGUUGAUUCUCUUAUUAAGGUCAGCUGAUUUCUAUUAUCCACUCUGACAAUCUCCUAUUAGUGUUUUUUUUUUAAUUUUGCACUUCUGUAUAAUUGAAAUGCCACUCACUUGUUUCCUUCUUCACAGGUCAGAUAGUAUGUUGAGGCUAUUUGCUUUUUAUCGGUGUUUGUCAAGGUAAUUAGUACUGCCUCAUAGGGUUGAUUGCUCACAGAUGAAAUUAUAACUUUUAUCUUAAAAUUUAAUAGCAUACACAGAUAGACGAUUUUUAGUCUAAAGUUUUUUUAUUCACUUCAGUCAAAAUUUUAGAUUGCAGAUUAUUGUCAAGUAUUUCAUUACAAUUUUUUCAUUUUUUAUUUUAAACCAGAAUAUGAGUAUAACAUUUUGGAGCGUGCAUACUCUGAUGCAUGCAAUUAACUGUUUUUAAUCAUUGGAUUUUGUAAUUAAUGAUGGUAAGAUGUGUACUUAUUCUGUCUUCCAACAACCUUGCCCUCUUUCUUCGGUCGCAUAUCUAAUGAAUAUUUCUCUGUUUAGUUAAGGAUGAAUGCUUGGAGUGGGGUACUUGGUAACAUUUCUGCCUCAGAUGAAUCCCUGAAGAAAUGCCUACGGUUCCUGAGACCAAAUACAGGUCUGAUUCAAACAGCACCUUUCCCAGAAAAUAUGAUCCAAGGCAAAGUCAUGUUCUGAUAAUGUUUCCUUAAGUACAAAGUUGCAAGGAAACUUGAUUCAUUAACUACAGUUUUUUAUUUUUAGGACCUUGUAUCUGAAAGGUUCAGUGUAUUUUUUUUUUUUCAAAUUAUUUGUUCAGAUCUCAGAGGAGUAUAUGGUUUAGAUUACAAAACACUUAUGAUCAAUUUCAUUUUUUUUUUUUUAAUCUCAGGGAGAAGAAGUGGUCAGUUUCAAUCCGGAAUUGGAAUAUGGCAAUUUGGUUCAAGCACACACACCCGGUCACUUGGUCAGUGAACCUGAGCUUUAUGCAGUUUUUUCAACUUAGUGAUUUUUGGAACACAUAUUGGUGUAAGGAAAUCAAAAGAAAUUUAUGCAUAGUCAAAUUCUGAUAUUUGCUAUAUAUUAUACAUUCUAAAGUUUCUCCAGUUUGUUCUCAGAUUACCAUCAUUUUUUUGCCUUCACCCAAAAAAAAAAAAAAAAUCGAGUGGCUUUCCGGUGGAUAUUUAAUCGGAGGUAUGACUGGAUUUUUUUCACUUCUGUAAAUCUUGCAUUUUAAACUGGCAAAUUUAACUUUAAUUUUAAUACGACUUUGUUGGUGCCUUGUGCUCCAGAAACUAGAAAGAUGUGUAGUUUUCAGAUAAAGGGGCUUGUAAAUUCUCUAGUAAGAAUCCAAUAAUUUGCUUUUGCACGUUCAUUUUAUUUGUGGAUCCUUGCAUCUGAAUUUGAUCAAUCCAAAAGGAAUUGCUUUUAGACAGAAGAAGAAUUGCAGUACCUAGCCUAUGACAUAGUAUAUGGACCUGCAAACCUGUAACUAUUAGUUUGAGGUAAAAAAUUCAUGACCCUCACAUGUUAACUUCUUCUAGUUACUUUCAUGAAAAACACAUUUAAGAAAUUUGCAAUUUUUUGUUAGUUUCGUAUCCGAUGUUGUUUUCUGUUUUAGCAUUUGUAGAAUCUACUGUAUUAUAUUUUGGCAGUUGCAGUAUCUGAGGUAUGUUUUGCAUUUAACUUGCUUUAUUUGUUUUGCUUGUGACUUAAGAACACCAAUAUUUGCCAGAGAUUUAGAGAAGCAUAUCAAGCUGCUUGGCAAACUUGACAAACUUCAAGAUCCUCCAUUCUUCACAACGCAAAACUUGUGAGUACACCUAUGCCCGCAAUUAUUGUGAAAUGCUUGCAAUUUUGAUGCGCUGAAAUGGUUUGUUGAUGCAAAGGUUUAAACUUUUAAGAUUUACCCUGCAGGGUAGUUGGAUGCUGUAUACUCGAAAAGCGACCAACAUCAAGAACUAUGACUCCAAGACCGGGUUUGCAUUAAUUCAAUCAGCUGAAAUCAUGAUGCAAAUGACACUAUCAGCUGGACUUAGAGACCGGUCAGAUCAAUCAUCCAUUUUAUCAACAGUUAAUGUCAUGAUGGUGGCUAUUAGAGGAAACAAAGGAUGUGUUGGAAUCAAUGUGAACAAUGAGAAGAAUGAGAGGAGCUUUGAUUAUACGUAGGUUCAAUGAACUCAUGCUGGUAAGUGGUAAUUAAAGAAAUUUGUGCGCUUAGUAGCAUUUCAAUAUUUUCUGUUUGGGAUAUAGUUGAUGAGUUGAUACUCUGAUUAAGAAGCCUGAUUAUAGUAGCUGACUUUUUUUUUGUGGUUUGCUGUUGAUUUUUCUUUUGAUUAUUUUUUCAACAUUAGGUUGAUCUGUUGAAGAACAAGCUUGGGUUGAUUAUGCUUUAACUACAAGGAAGUGCCAGACUUGGAUGCAGGCGUUCAGCUUUUAAUGGGUAAGAACAAAUGUAUGCUUUAACCAUGUUUCUCACUUAUUACAAUGCACGCAUUGAAGGCAUCUGAGCUGAUCCUGAAAAAGUGAUGGAAAUACUUCUCUGUUUACAUAAAACAGGACAAGAGAUCUCUGAUCAUGCCUGAGAAUUAGUUGCAUUGAAAUUUCUACCAUUGCCAAAAAUGGAAUAAACUAGGAAUACAUUAGCUUAAGACUCAAUUUUGAGAAGGCAGUUUGUACAUGCAGCCUAAAAAAUCAUGUCCGUGUUGUAUACUUGUACGUUUCUUUGGGAAAUGAAAGAUUCUGUGUGUUCUAUUAUUUCAAGUUUGCUGAAAUCACAUUUGUUUUCUUAGAUGCUUUUGAGAAGGUAACAACAGCAAUUUCAAAAAUGCUGGGGUAAGAUGCAUCACGCAGUGCUACUCAACAUGAGAAUUCCGGCCGCAUUACCUGUAUGUUGAGUGAUCGCACAGUACAACCUUUAGAAGCUUGUAAGGAGUAGACAACUAGAUGCGAGUAGUUUCAAUAUGGAUUCGCAUCAAAUGAUCUCUUGCAAGUGAUUACUAUAACCUCUAUCCCAAAAUUCUUGGAACUGGUCAUACCAAUAAUGAAGUAUUGUGUAUGUUGAAGACAUAGCUCAAGGCCUUGCGAAAGCUUCGUCAGCCUUUGUAUUGGAAAACAGUUGGUUGUAGUUGCUUCUGAAUGAUAUUGUUAAUAGAUACUGUAAAAAUGAACUGUGCCACUCAUUUUCAGAGCCCUGUUAAGAUGUGUUGGUAAUGUGUUUGAAGGUUGUUUGAUUUAUGUUGUAUUCAGCUAUAAAUCAAAGAUUCAGAACAUGGUUAUGUUACUGGUUUCCAAAUCAAAAAAUUGCCUUGUGAUGUUAGUGUUCAUUGUUUUCACAGGAGAUCAGGUUCCCUGUUGAUGAAUCAAGAAGGCAAACGCAUCCAUGUCUUAAGUUCAAAUGUGUCUCUUCUAUUUUCUAUUACUGACUCCUUUAUUUUGAUUUCUUCAUUGUAAUGGAAUUGGUUUUUUAUUCCAAAUUAGUCAAAACCUCCUAGAGUCAUUAAGUUCUGUUAGCAUUUGAAGAUAGAACUAGAACUAAAUGAUUGACUGGAUUAAAUUCCGAUAAAGAAUUAAGUUAUAUAUUUAGAGAUAUUAUGUUUUUUUUUUUCAUUUGUUCAAUUUGGUUAGUGGUGAUUUCUUAAAGACUCAAUCCAUGUGCGUUUAUGCAUUUUUAUUUUGCCUUAAUUUCUGUUUCUUGGGGAGUUUAUACAGAUUCUUAUUUUAUGCUUCACAUGCCACAUGAAAGAUCGAAGCCUUUUGUGUGAUUAGAACUGACUUGCAUCACAGAAGUAGAUUGAUAGAGUAGAUAAUAGUAGAUUUCGCUUUAGUAUCGGAAAUUCCAUAAUUAUGCUUUUCUCUGCACUAUUUUCAAUAAAAUUAUAAAAAUCAAAACAAAAUUAUUACACAGUAAAGACUUUAGAGACAAGUACCCCCAAUAGGAUCAAGCAAAUAUGCUCUGCACAAAAUUAUUUCUUGUUCUUUUUCUUUUUGACAAUUUUAUUUGUGGUUUCAACUUUUAUGCUUUAUUGUCAUAUCUCGUUGAGGGCUCCGCUGCACCCAUUACAACUUACCCCCAUAUUGUCUUUUACUGACUAAACCGUUAGAUUUGAUGCUGAAUUUUAAUUAUACCAUCAAAUUUCGUUUAGCUCCUUAAACUCCAUUUUAUUUGUAAUUUCUUCAUAAAAUAUUCAAAGCUUCAUCAAGCUCCUAAUGGACCAUCAUGGCUAGGGGUGCGUUAGAGCCGAACUGAAAUAUGUUAGUUCAGUUCAGUUUGGUCAGUUUAAAUUGAAUGGUUUAGGAAAUAUAAACUGAUCAAUUUUAAUUUUGAAUUGAACUGAACCGAAAAUCAAUUGGUUCAGUAUUAGUAUUUUUGCAUAAAUAUAAAUUAUUAGCGAUUAUAAUUAAAUUGGACUAAAAAAAAUUCAAACUAAGGUGAAAAACAUCAAAUCUUAGAUAAUAUAAAAGAAAAAAUAUUAAAUUUUAUAAACCAAAAUGAACCGAAUUAUUUUUACUCAGUUUGGUUCAUAUUUGGUUCGUAAUUUUUUAAACCAAAUUGAUUUAUAUCCACACCCUAAUCAUGGCCCUCUAUCUUCAGUCAUUCACCCUUGAGUUUGAUGCCAAUUGUUGGGUUUCAAAUUAUUAUACACUCAAAUGAAACCCCUCAUAACCAAAAACUAACAGAAACAAUAAGAACACGAUGUUAAUAUCUUAAAUCAAUCACAAAAAAGCACUCAAAAUUAAUUGAUUAGGAGCAAUUAACAACAAAAGAUUUGAUGGUUCAAAAUCAUAAUGUGACCUAGUUCCAUCCAAGAAUCAUACUAAUUGCUUUACUAGUUGUCAAAUUGUUGUGCAAAUUUUAUUAAACUCGCAAGUGCACGAAUCUAUUGUAGAAUAGAUCAAUGGUGACGAGUGUCGAUCCCAUAAGGAGGUUGAUUUUUAAUUAUGUGUAGAAUUAAUGUUCUAUGAGGAUGGUUGGAUUUGUGGUGGAAGUGAUUUAGAUUAUACUAGAAUUUAAAUUGGAAUGGUAGAAUUAAAUUAAAGUGGAAACUAUUAUAAUUGAAGCGCUUGGGUAUUUGGAUCCGUAUCAACAUGCACCAUUGGCUAAAUAUUCCUUAUUAGUAUCAAUUAAAUCAUGAGGGGGGAAUCCACACCUCAUGAACUACACUCUAAUCAAUAUGGUGCUAAGGGCUUAUCGUGCCAAAUAAUAAUAACCUUAUACUAGGGAGUCGGUGAAACUAUGGUAAUAUCUAGACAAGAUUAUUACUAUUUGUCGACGAAAAGUCAAAACAUCCACAAAAAUUAGAGGGGAUGAGAAAGUAAAUUUACCAAUUAAAGCCCAUGGCACAUGUUGAGACUUCACUUUCUACCCAAGCUUGAAAGAAAAUUAGCUACUCAUAAUUAAACUAUGGAUAAAAUGAAAAUUUAUUAAAAUACAUAGAAAAUACAAGAUAGAAAAGAAAUUAUAGAAAAUGGAGCUCAAAAAUGAAUUCAGAGAUGCCAAAUUAGGGGGGAGAGACUCCCUUUUUAUAGAUAUUUGAUUAAAUCAUGGCCAUCGAAUUAAAACCAGUUUGGACACUCAGGAUUGUGCCACGUCAUCAAUCAACAGUACGCGGUUUGAACAGUGACACGGUUUGACCACGCGGUUUGAACAGUCAACCGGCUUGAAUAGUGACGCGGUUUGGUUGAAAAUAAUCCUAUUUAUAUGCAUGUACCGUACGCGCGAUUUUUGGUCUACUAACAUGCUGCAACGUCACCGAUCAACAAUGCGUAAGAAUUUUAUCCAAUAGAAUCGUGACACCUCAUUAGUCAAUGUCACAUUAACGUUCAAUGCCAUGUCAUCGUUCCGUAGGUGUGAAUAAUGUCGUGAACAGUAACAUAGACAGUAUCGUACGUGUAAAUAGUGUUGUGUAUGUGAACAGUGAUAUUUUUCCUUUUAUGCUCCUCCUACAGUUUUCGACUGUUCUAAGUUCAAAAGUGAUGUCCGUUUUGCCGUCUGAUCUCUCGUUUAUUGUGAAAAGACCAUGAUGCCUUUAAAAUAUAUAAAAUACUUAAUUAAAAUAAAACACACAUAAUUAAAUCACAAGAAGCUUAAAUACAUAAAAGUAGAAGUGUUAGUAAGACUUGAAAUGUAAAAUGACGAUUUUCUCCUUUAUAAAUAUACAUUUUCUAACACUCAACACAAAUACAAGAUCACAAGAUUGUUUAUCACUCGACAGAGAAAUUGUUUUUAGAAGAAAUACUCCUCAAUUUUUCUGUUAAUAGUUAUGAAUCAACACCCGCAUAAAGGCUAUUGAUUUACUUUUCCUUAUUUCCAACAUAGUCCAAACACUUUUCAUGUUACAGGCGUAGUGCACCUUCAGAAACUUUACAGCUCCUCUUAAAACCUCAAGCCUAUAGAGUGUAAUUUCGCACUAUAUGCUCAGUCUUCUCAUGAUGUUUCUGAUUUAUUUCUCGGACGAGUAACACUUUUAGCUGUCAUAAUACAAUGUAAUUGACUUUUAGCUGUCAUAAUUUUGAGAUCAUUACUUUUAAUUAAAUGAUCUCCUCUACAGCUUCUACCUAUGUAGUGUUUUAGACCUCUAUAGUUGAUCAAGCAUGUUCAAGGUGAAGGCUUGUUUUCCAAUCUAUAGUCCAAUUAUAGACUGGAAAUGGUUAGGCUUAAUGCACCUUCAAAAGCUUCACAACUUAUAUAGAAACCUUAAGCCUUAUAGAAUGCUACAAAUUUUAAAUCCACAUACUUAGUGCUCUUAUGAUUUGUUUGAUUUUUGCUUAGAUGAAGAGCACUUUAGCUAUAGACUACAUUGUAACUAAUUCAAAGCAUGCCUUAGCUACGAGAUCAUUCAUUCUAGCCAAAUGCCCCCUUUAGAGAUUCUGCUAUUGUUGUGUAUUCAGCCUCUAUAUUUGGCAAAGCAAUUACAUGUCGAAGGCUUGCUUGCUUUCCAGUUAACAGCGCAAUUACAUAGAUUACAGGUGUAACCAGGCAAAGAACUUAGUUAUUCUGCCAAGGUCUCCAACAUACUCCAAAUCCAUAUAACCGCCAGACUUCAAUCUUUAGACUCCAUAGAUCAAACCAUAACUUAGUGUGCCUUUCAAUCUCAGGUAACAUUUUACUGUUUUCCACGUCUUGCCAUGUACUUGCUGCUAACACUAACAAUUUGAGAAAUGUUAGGCAUCGUAAGCAGCCGACAACACUCUUCUUCAUUUCUUCAUUGUCAAUUUCCUUCUUGGAACAUUGCUCCAUUGAGAGUCUACUAUCAUUGCUCCAAUUAUUAUUAUUUUUGUUUUUUUAAAAAAAAAAAUUAACCCUACAAUAAGAGUAUAAGACUAAGCAACGGUCCUUUUUUUUCCCAUUCUUGAGCAUGAAGUAUUUGAGUAUGCAAUAAAAAUUGUUUAUUGAUAAUUAAAAGUUAGUAGUGGGUGGCUUUAGGUUUUGUUUACAAAAUUGACAACAAAUUGAGAUUUUUCAAAUUCAUAGGUAAGAAACUUUUCAUUUAUUCAUAGAUUUUCCGGUUUAAACUUUAAAGAAAACUUAAAAGAAAAAGAUGUAUCAUUAGACUUGUAAUUAAAAAAAUUUAAUAUUGUAUGAUCUGUUCGAUAUGCAUAAUUUAAAUAAACAUUAAUAUAGAUGUUAUAUAUCCUAAAACUUAAUUGACUUAAUUCUUACGGUGCAAGGAAGAGGUUUCCAAGUUUAAAUCUAAAGUCUUGUAUUUAAUUUGGGGUCGGGAAAGCACCGGGAAAUAAAUGUAACAAAGGAAAAAAAAAAAAAAAAGAAUGACAGUCUGAGUGGAGCCAACACGGUUUUGAAAAAAGUGCAAAAAAGGGUUUAAAAAAAAAAAACGCGGUUUGUAAAGGAAAUAAAAGCUUUUCAUUGAAUUAAGACCACUACACUCAAAUACUCUAUUAUCACCAACGAGGUCGUGGUCUAGUGGUGCCAGGGGCUAGGCUUGGUAGGGCGAACUACGGUUCGAUCCCCCGCACGCACGUUGGGAGGAGUUUAAAACCUUAACCCCGGGACGCGCUCCGAAACCGGAUUAGUCGGCCCGAUGGGUUCGGAUACCGGUUGGUUAGCACCAAAAAAAAAAAAAAAAAAUACUCUAUUAUCGUUUGUUUGCUUGCUUGUGGAAAUAAAAGUCUCAUGUUUCUUUGAAAGGUAAGCAAGUGUGAGUGUUUCUAUCUAGAGCUGGAAAAUGCAUUUCCGUGCAACUUACUUGAUGAAUGAAGUUUUCAUCUCUGACCUUGAUGUUUCCCUGAGCUGCAUUCGUUGCAGCUGAUGUAUUUCAUUUUGUUUUCGAAGGAGUGACACAAAAUCUCCUUUGUUAAGGUGAGAAUUUAGAGUGGCUUUAACUGUUAACAAAUAGCCUAAUGUAAGACUUAAUCAACUUCCUGCCCUGUUGUAUGCUUAUGAAUUUUGAUAGAGUUAUGAGUUUGCAGAAGCUACUGUAUUAUAUGUUGAUAGAGGCUGUAAAAAUGAGGCAGAUCAAACACACGUUUAAAUUUCAGUGACAAUUUACUGGAAGUAAAUUUCCUAUGACCCUACAUGUGACUAAUUGAUGAGAAGUUGACAAAUGACAAAAGAAAUUGUACGAGCUUUGCAGGCUGGCAUGCCGAUAUUGACUGCAUGGCACCAUCCGCCAUUUGGAAGUGAAUAUCAUUAUUCUUUAAUCAACAUGGUGGAGUCCACUGGGACCACACCACAUGGUCAGUCAUAUCUCUAUUCCUCAAUUUUCAGUAUUCCAUACAUCAAAACAAUUUCAGUUUUGUUAUCAAUUAUAAUUUCAUUGUUGGUGACGAUUCUGAUUCCUUUCUUUCUGACAAAACGGAACCAUGUUUGCUGUGGGAGAGAUCUUACUCAACGCCUUCUUUCAGGUGUUGUUCGACAGGUUGGCUUCCCGCGAUUUGCUCAGCUUUGUCCGUCAACUUGGAGGCGGGGUCGAUUCCGAGCUCAAGAAGUGGGAAAGAAAGCUGAAGAUGAUUCAGGCGGUGCUCAACGAUGCAGAGGAGAAGCAACUGACUGACGAGGCUGUGAAGACGUGGCUGGACGAUCUCCAAGACUUGGCUUAUGACGCUGAGGACAUUCUUGAUGAGUUUGCUACUCAAGCUUUGGAAAGCAAGUUGAUGGCGCAAAAUCAGGAUAGCUCUGGCCAGCUUCUCAGUUUCAUCCCGGUUAGUUUGAAUCCGAAUGCUGUUAGGUUCAAUUAUGGCAUGAGGUCCAAGAUUAACGAUAUUACCAGCCGGUUGGAGCAACACUGCAAAGAUAGAAUUGAACUUGGGCUGCAACGGAUUCCUGAAGGGGCAUCAUCAACUGCUGCUGCUGCACACCAGAGGCCACCCAGUUCAAGCGUCCCACCAGAACGUGAAGUUUUUGGUAGAGAAGAAGAUAAGGCCAAAAUUCUUGAUAUGGUAUUGGCCGAUAGCCCAAGUGAUCUUGCCAACUUUGUUGUAAUACCCAUUGUUGGCAUGGGCGGGAUAGGAAAAACAACUCUCGCUCGGGAGGUUUACAAUGACAAGGCCGUUGGAGAUUCCAAGUUUGAUGUAAAAGCAUGGGUUUGUGUAUCUGAUGUCUUUGACGUUUUGGGCAUCUCAAAGGCGCUUCUCGAGUCAAUCACCCGCAGGCCAUGUCUUCUAAACAGUUUAAACGAAGUGCAGGUUGAAUUGAAAGUAGCUGUGGAUAAAAAAAGAUUCUUGCUGGUCUUAGAUGAUGUUUGGAACGAGGACUACAGCUUGUGGGUAGACUUAAAAGCUCCGUUCCUGGGUGCUGCACCAAACAGCAAGAUGAUCGUCACCACACGCAAUUCAAGUGUUGCAUCAACAAUGAGACCCAUUGAUCGUCACCGCAAGCAAUUCAAGUAUUACGAUCUCAAGAGUCUGUUAGAUGAUGAUUGCUGGUCCAUUUUCAUAAACAAUGCAUUUGAAUCUACAGACCUUAGCGCACAUCGAAUUUCAGAAUCGUUCCGCGAGAAAGUUGUUGGCAAGUGUGGGGGCUUGCCUCUGGCAGCAAAAACACUCGGGGGCCUUCUUCGUACUAAAACGCAUGCUGAGUGGGACGGUAUAUUGGAUAGCAAAAUAUGGGAUUUACCUCGGCAAAGCAGCAUUCUUCCCGUGUUAAGAUUGAGUUACCAUCAUCUUCCUUCUCAUUUGAAAAGAUGUUUUGCUUUUUGUGCCAUCUUUCCAAAAGAUUAUGCAUUCACUGAGAGGGAGCUGACUUUCUUAUGGAUGGCUGGAGGUAUUAUUCGACAGUCAAGAAACAAUGAGCAGCUCGAAGAUUUGGGCAGCAAGUGCUUUGGUGAUCUAGUGUCGAGGUCAAUUUUUCAACAAACAGCAAUCUCUGAUAGUUCUAAAUUUGUAAUGCACGACCUUAUCCAUGAUCUUGCUGAAUUGGUCUCUGGAGAAACCAUAUUUAGGUUAGAGGAGGCCAAUACUCUGUCAAGAAGUUUUGAAAGGGUUCGCCAUUCUUCCUAUGCUUGUGGUGAAUAUGAUGGUAAAAAUAUGUUCGAGGUUUUCAAUGAAAUUGAACAUCUACGAACAUUCUUGCCAUUACGCUUACGCAUACGAGGUACUUUUUACAUAACUAGAACGGUUCUAUCCGAUUUGCUGCCAAAGUUCAAAAAAUUGAGGAUGCUAUCUUUAGAAGGAUACUGUAUUGGUGAGUUACCGAUUCCAUUUGAAGAUUUGAGACUUUUAAGGUUUCUCAACCUUGCUGACACUGACAUAAGAAGUUUACCCGAGUCAACAUGCAAAUUGCUGAACUUGGAAAUUUUGAUAUUAAGAAAUUGUUCCCUUUUGAUAAAGCUUCCACCCAAAAUGAGGAAUUUGAUCAAUUUACGCCAUUUGGAUUUAAGAGGUGCGAAGUUGCUGAAGGAGAUGCCAGUCGGAAUGAAAGAGCUGAAGAAGCUUCAAACAUUGUAUAAUUUCAUUGUGGGCAAGGGUGAAACUGCAUCCGGUUUGGAAGAUUUAAAAAGUUUAAACUUUCUUUGUGAUGAACUUUGCAUUGUUGGAUUAGAGAAUGUGAAUAAUCCACAGAAUGCAAGAGAAGCCGCAUUAUGCGAGAAGCGCAAUCUUGAAGCAUUGACCCUAGAUUGGGGGUCUCAAUUUGACAAUUCUCGAGAUGGAGUAGUAGAAGAGGAUGUACUGGAAAUUCUACAGCCUCAUAAAUGUAUUAAAAAGGUGGCAAUCAGGAACUAUGGUGGUGCAAGAUUUCCACAUUGGAUAGGAGAUCCUUUGUUCUCCAAAAUAGAGUUCCUUGAAUUGGAGAACUGUGACAAUUGUGCAUCUUUGCCAUCGCUUGGCCGUUUGAGGUCCAAGAUUAACGAUAUUACUAGCCGGUUGGAGCAACUCUGCCAAGAAAGAAUUGAACUUGGACUGCAACGGAUUACCGGAGAGGCAUCAUCAACUGCUGCUGCUGCACACCUGAGGCCACCCAGUUCGAGUGUCCCAACAGAACGUGAAGUAUUUGGAAGAGAAGAAGAUAAGGCCAAAAUUCUUGAUAUGGUAUUGGCCGAUGCCCCAAGUGAUCAUGCCAACUUUGUUGUAAUACCCAUUGUUGGCAUGGGCGGAAUCGGAAAAACAACUCUCGCUCGGGAGGUUUACAAUGACAAAGCCGUUGGAGGUUCCAAGUUUGAUGUAAAAGCAUGGGUUUGUGUAUCUGAUGUCUUUGACGUUUUGGGCAUCUCAAAGGCGCUUCUCGAGUCAAUCACCCGCAGGCCUUGUCUUCUAAACAGUUUAAACGAAGUGCAGGUUGAAUUGAAAGUAGCUGUGGAUAAAAAAAGAUUCUUGCUGGUCUUAGAUGAUGUUUGGAACGAGGAGUACAGCUUGUGGGUAGACUUAAAAGCUCCGUUCCUGGCUGCUGCACCAAACAGUAAGAUGAUCGUCACCACACGCAAUUCAAAUGUUGCAUCAACAAUGGGGCCAGUUGAACAUUACAAUCUCAGGAGUCUAUCAGAUGAUGAUUGCUGGUCCAUUUUCAUAAAGCAUGCAUUUGAAUCUAGAGAUCUUAACGCACAUCAAAUUUCAGAAUCAUUCCGCAAGAAAGUUGUUGCCAAGUGUGGAGGCUUGGCCCUGGCAGCAAAAACACUCGGAGGCCUUCUGCGUACGACGAGGCAUGAUGCGUGGGAUGAUAUAUUAGAGAGCAAAAUAUGGGAUUUACCUCGACAAAGUGGGGUUCUCCCAGUAUUAAGAUUGAGUUACCAUCAUCUUCCUUCUCAUUUGAAAAGAUGUUUUGCUUUUUGUGCCAUCUUUCCAAAAGAUUAUGAAUUCACUGAGAAGGAGCUGACUUUCUUAUGGAUGGCUGGAGGUAUUAUUCGACAGUCAAGAAACAAUGAGCAGCUGGAAGAUUUGGGCAGCCAGUGCUUUGGUGAUCUAGUGUCGAGGUCAAUUUUUCAACAAACAACAAUCUCUGAUAGUUCUAAAUUUGUAAUGCAUGACCUUAUUCAUGAUCUUGCUGAAUUGGUCUCUGGAGGGACCAUUUUUAGGUUAGAGAAGUCCCCCAACUUGUCGUCAAGCGGAUUUGAAAGAGUUCGCCAUUCUUCCUAUGCCGGCGGUUUGCAUGAUGGUAAAAAUAAGUUUGAGGUUUUCUAUGAAAUUGAACAUCUACGAACAUUCUUGCCAUUACGCUUACGCAUACGAGGUACUUUUUACAUAACUAGAACGGUUCUAUCCGAUUUGCUGCCAAAGUUCAAAAAAUUGAGGAUGCUAUCUUUAGAAGGAUACUGUAUUGGUGAGUUACCGAUUCCAUUUGAAGAUUUGAGACUUUUAAGGUUUCUCAACCUUGCUGACACUGACAUAAGAAGUUUACCCGAGUCAACAUGCAAAUUGCUGAACUUGGAAAUUUUGAUAUUAAGAAAUUGUUCCCGCUUGAUAAAGCUUCCACCCAAAAUGAGGAAUUUGAUCAAUUUACGCCAUCUCGAUAUAAGAGGUGCGGAGUUGCUGAAGGAGAUGCCAUUCGGAAUGAAAGAGCUGAAGAAGCUUCAAAUAUUGUACAAUUUCAUUGUAGGCAAGGGUGAAACUGCAUGCGGUUUGGAAGAAUUAAAAAGUUUAAACUUUCUUUGUGAUGAACUUUGCAUUGCUGGAUUAGAGAAUGUGAAUAAUCCACAGAAUGCAAGAGAAGCCGCAUUAUGCGAGAAGCACAAUCUUGAAGCAUUGACUCUAGAAUGGGGGUCUCAAUCUGACAGUCCUCGGGAUGCAGUACUAGAAGAGAAUGUACUUGACACUCUACAGCCUCAUAAACGUAUAAAAGAGCUGGCAAUCAGGCACUAUGGUGGUGCAAGAUUUUCACUUUGGAUCGGAGAUCCUUCGUUCUCCGAGAUGAAGGUCCUUAAAUUGGAGAACUGUGACAAUUGUGUAUCUCUGCCAUCGCUUGGCCUGUUGAGUUCACUUAAGCACCUUGCUGUUAAAGGGCUGAAGAAACUAAAAAGCAUAGAGUCUGAGGUUUAUGGGGAGGGUUUCUCGAUGCCUUUUCCAUCAUUGGGGAUUCUAAGUUUCGAGAAUUUGCCAGAAUGGGAGCAUUGGGACACCGAGAUCAAAGGAAAUGCGCCUGUUGAUAUAUUUCCUCGUCUCCAAGAACUUUCCAUUGCAGAAUGUCCCAAACUCUCUGGACAACUGCCUGAGCUCCUGCCUUCCUUGGAGACACUUGUUGUUAGUAAAUGUGAAAAGUUAGUAGUUCCAUUGUCAAGUUAUCCGAUGCUCUGCAGAUUAGAAGUUGAUGAGUGCAAGGAGCUAGUGUGCGGGACUCUAAUUGAUUUUAAGUUGAUAAAGUCCAUGACUAUUUCAAAUAGUUCAUUAGACAUGAAUGGACGCAAGGGGAUGCUAUACGAUGGUCUAGCUGGCUCUUCACUUCCAAAGCCCAUGACUACUACAAAUGUUUUGGAGUUUGGAAAAUUAUUGAAGCCUGGAUUUCAGAUAUUAGAAAUUUUGGUAAUUGGCAAUUCUGAACAGCUCAAGUCAUGGAGGCAGCAUGGAGAUUGGAGUACUUCGAUUAAACCAGUACAAGGGCUGAAUAUGCUCGCUCACAAUGAGGAGGUAUCAAUUGAAGAAAGUUGCGUUCGUCUUGUUUUGUUUCCAGAGAUCAAUUUCUUUCCCAGAAAUCUGCGCUCUCUUCUAAUUAACAACAACACUGCUUUCAAAUCCUUACCCGAGGAAAUGAUGGAAAACAAUUCACAACUCGAAAGGUUGUAUAUCAAGGAUUGCGACUCUCUAACAUUCAUCGCAAGACGGAGGCUACCAGCAUCUCUUAAAAGGCUUGAGAUAGAAAAUUGUGAGAAAUUGCAACGUCUGUUCGAUGAUGAAGAGGAUGCUUCUUCUUCUUCUCGUGCAUCCUCGUCUUCCCCAGUGAUGCUGCAACACCUGAUUAUAGAGAACUGCCCAGAGCUCACCAGUUUAUCAUCGGGUGUCCAAUUCCUUGAGGCGCUUGAAUACCUCGAGAUACGGGAUUGUCCAAAGCUGGAGUCAAUACCGGAUGGCCUGCACAAUCUUAAAUGUUUACAGAGCAUUUAUAUACGGAAAUGUCCAAGUCUUGUUUCCUUCCCAGAAAGAGGGCUUCCCAACACGAUUUCAAGGGUUGACAUUUGCAGCUGUGACAAGCUCGAAGCCUUGCCCAAUGAUUUGCACAAACUCAACUCUCUUCGAGGUUUAAGCAUCCAGAUCUGUCCAAAUCUUGUAUCGUUUCCAGAAGAAGGUUUUCCUACCAAUCUAACAUCACUUACAAUUGGAUAUUUCAAAAUGUAUAAGACACUCGUCCAGUGGGGGUUGCACAGGCUUACCUCUCUUAGAGACCUCUGGAUCGUUGAAUGUGAUGAUGAAGCAGAGUGUUUUCCAGACGAGGAGAUAGGAAUGACGCUGCCUGCCUCUCUCACUCAUCUGCAUCUUGAUGGAUUCCAAAAUUUGAUAUCUCUGUCUUCGACGGGUUUUCAGAGCCUAACCUCUCUUCAAUCUUUGUGGAUCUGGGAUUGCCCAAAUCUCACAUCAUUUCCAGAGGUGGGCCUUCCAUCCUCACUUUUGGAAUUACACAUUAGAGAUUGUCCAAAGCUUAAAAAAGCGUGCAAAAGGGAUCAAGGAAAAGAGUUGCCCAAAAUUGCUCACAUCCCUUGCGUUGAGAUAGACGGUAAAUUCAUAUACGAUCCAGAAUCAGAGGAGUAGAUUCUAUUACAAAGGUCAGUUGAUUUGUAUUAUCCGCUAUAACAAGCUCCUCCUAAUUUUUUUUUUCUAAGUAAUAAUUUUGCAGUCACUCACGUGAUUCCGUUUUCACAAGUCAGAUUGUAUGUUGAGGCUAUUUGCCUUUUAAUCGCAGAUUAAAUUAUAACACUUAUCUUAAAAUUUAAUACCAUACACAGAUAGACGAUUUUUUUAUCCAAAGUUUCAAUCAAGAAUUGGAGGAUGUGAAUGGGAUUUUUGUGAAAACAUAAUGGAUGAACGAACAUUUCAUCUGUGAUCUCAAAGUCAACAGAAUUUUAUUUACUCGUUGACUUUUCAACUCCUUGGUUGUUGCUGGGUGAAAGAUAAGGGCAAUUACAAGAUAUUUGCAAACUUUGUCAAUUUCUUAGAUGGUAGAUAUAUCGACAUUUUAGAUUUCAGAUAUUUUGAUGCUUUUUUAAUUUUGAUCUAGUAGAAAUACAUAGCCUUCACCGACAGGAAUUGAAAUUGAAAUUUUUGUCUUCAAUGGGUUUUCAAAGCCUCGCCUCUCUUCGAUUUUUGUGGAUCGGGAAUUGCACAAAUCUCACAUCAUUUCCCGAGGUCGAGGAAAAGAGCGGCCCAAACUUGCUCGCAUCCCUUGGGUUAAUAGAUUCUCUUAUUAAGGUCAGCUGAUUUCUAUUAUCCACUCUGACAAUCUCCUAUUAGUGUUUUUCCUUUUGAAAUUUUUUUUCUAAAAUUUUGCAGUUCCGUAUAAUUGAAAAUGCCACUCACUUGUUUCCUAUUAGUAUGUUGAGGCUAUUUGCUUCCUAUUAGUGUUUGUUAAGGUAAUUAGUGCUCCCUCGUCGGUAUGACUGGAUUUUUUUCACUUCCGUAAAUAUUGCAUUUUAGACUGGCAAAUUUAGCAGUAAUUUUAAUUUGAUACUCUGAUUAAGAAGCCUGAUUAUAGUAGCUGACUUUUUUUGUGUGGUUUGCUGUUGUUUAUUCUUUCGAUUAAUUUCAACAUUAGGUUGAUCUGUUGAAGAACAAACUUGGGUUUGAUUAUGCUUUAACUACAAGGAAGAGCCAGACUUGGAUGCAGGCGUUCGGCUUUUAAUGGGUAAGAACAAAUGUAUGCUUUAACCAUGUUUCUCACUUAUUACAAUGCACGCAUUGAAGGCAUCUGAGCUGAUCCUGAAAAUGUGGUGGAAAUACUUCUCUGUUUACAUAAAAUAGACAAAUAGAGAUCUCUGAUCAUGCCUGAGAAUUCGUUGCAUUUCAAAUUUCUACCAUUGCCAAAAAUAGAAUAAACUAGGGAUACAUUAGCUUAAGACUCAAUUUUGAGAAGGAAGUUUGCACAUGCAGCCUAAAAAAUCAUGUCCGUGUUGUAUACUUGUAUGUUUCUUUGGGAAAUGAAAGAUUCUGUAUGUUCUUUUAUUUCAAGUUUGCUGAAAUCACAUUUGUUUUCGUAGAUGCUUUUGGGAAGGUAACAAGAUCAAUUUCAUAAAUGCUGGGGUAAGAUGCAUCACGCAGUGCUACUCAACAUGAGAAUUCCCGGCCGCAUUAACUGUAUGUUGAGUGAUCGCACAGUACAACCUUUAGAAGCUUGUAAGGAGUAGACAACUAGAUGCGAAUAGUUUCAAUAUGGAUUCACAUCAAAUGAUCUCUUGCCAGUGAUUACUAUAACCUCUAUCCCAAAAUUCUUGGAACUGGUCAUACCAAUAAUGAAGUAUUGUGUAUGUUGAAGACAUAGCUCAAGGCCUUGCGAAAGCUCCGUCAGCCUUUGUAUUGGAAAACAAUUGGUUGUAGUUGCUUCUGAAUGAUAUUAUUAAUAGA